rnacentral:lncRNA from 1 species
GAUGAUCACCGUAAAGUUCAUUUUAGUGUUCGAACAUACAUAAUACGGUGGGUUAAUGUUCGUGAACUUCAUUUUUCACGAAAAUCUGAUGAAGGAACUCUGCUUCUUCAUUUUCCAUUUUUAUGGUUCGUAAAAUAAUGCCACUGUUGCUGAACUUGAGAGAGAGGAGCAUUAAUAUUGUAUAUUGACGACCAUCAACAUAAUAUAUAUUUUUAUUUUAUUCAUCAAAUUAAUAGUACAUAUAAUUAAGAAGGGAGGGGAGGCCCUAGCUAGCUACAGACCUCAGUGAGUCAUCAGUUCUGCUUCGUCUUCAUCAGUACUGGAUGCCGAGUCAGUUUCUCCACCGGAGUCGACUAGUUAUUCUUUGCCGUGGCCUUUGUAGAUGUGGGUGUUGCCAAACUCGAAAAUUCCUACUGUCUCCGAUUUUUUCCCCGUAAUAUUAUUCCCAACGGUAGACAUUUUCACUGCUUGGUAUCCUUGUUUGAUUUGAAAUAUAUAUAUAUAUAUAUAUAUAUAUAUAUAUACAGAGAGCUUUCAUUGAGGGAUUCCUCAAAUAACUUAUUUGAGGAACACCUUUUGUAGGCCCCACUCCGGAUUGUAGGUCACUAAUCCAAACCAUCUAUUUUGUAGAUACUCAUUCAAAGAUCAUCUCUACAAAAAAUCACUUGAAUCCGAUAUCAUUUGACCACUCAAUUAAGUUAUUGAAAUUUUAGCAUUUUAUUGAAGCACCGUGUUCAUUGAUUUUGUAAGACACAAUUGGAUGUCGAAACGGUUUUCGAUUUGUCUAAUUUUUUGUGAGGAUGAUCUAUGAAUAAAGACCUAAAAAAUAGAUGGUUUGGAUCAUUGGGAAAAAAAUUGUAGGGUACCCUAAAGGGCGUCCCUUAAAUAAAAUUAUUUGAGGGAUCCCUCAAUAGAAGGGGACUAUAUAUAUAUAUAUAUAUAUAUAUAUAUAAAGGCGGAAAUCUUCAAAAGCCCUAGAAUACCCUUGAUAACAUAAAAUACUAAAUCGCAUGAUUUUAAUAAAAAUAGGAUAAAAUUGUAAAAAUAAUAAUAAUAAAAUAAAAAUAAAAAACGGCAGAAUUUAUUAGGACAUGUUUGGUAUUCAACUUAAAUCCAACUUUUUAAACUCAAAAACAGAAUUUGAGUCAAAAAAAAAAAACAUGUUUGGUAGCUCUAUUUUUAAAAUUUUAAACAACUUAAAAACACCUCAAUUAUUAAAAACAAAAAAAAUAUGUUUUUUCAGUUUAAUUUUUUUUAACAAUCCACAAGUUCUCAAAUUUUUAAGAUUUGAAAACAGUUUUUAAGUUACAUACCAAGCAAGUUUUUGAAUCUUAAAAAUAGAUUUAAGAACUCCUUGUUUUUAAGAAAAAUUAAAGUUUUUGAGUUCCCUUUUUGAAUAGGAUACCAAACGCCCCCUUAAUAUUUGCAAACACGUCCUGGAGAAACCGCUAGCCCUAUUCAUACACCGUCAUCAGAGGUCUUGGGUGGUUCCUUCAAGUGUGGCUCAUUCUAUUAUUGGUGAAAACAUUACAGGAAGUGAUGACAGAAGAAUGGACAAGACUGAUCAGAAUUGCAGAUGCCAUCUCUUGAUAUUUUGAACUUGCCUAGAUCUUUGCUGUAUCAGCUCUUAUUUUCGUACAUCGAACACACACCAUUAACCUUAAAGCUAAAAUGAAAAAUGAAAAAUUAAAGCAUGGAAGAACAGACUACGUUUUUCUUUUUAUUGAUCAUGUCCUUCUUCAAUUGGUUUAUGCUAACUUCGAUUCAGCUUCUUUUUCUCCCAAACUACAGGAUCCUACACUUCCAGCCAGGUGUGGUGUUGCCAAAGUUGUGAAACCCAACACUACUGGCUCCUUCACGUGCAGUAAUUGUAUUGCCACAAAUGUCGUGACCACCACCUUGGCCUUCCCCUUGACCUUGUACAUUAUGAAAGUUUGACGCUCCAACAUUCUGACUGUUCGGGUCUGCCAUAAUAUUAUUGUCACGAAUCUGGGACCUGAUGCCGCCGCCUCCUCCCUGAUCUUGCCUAUUCACUUGAGGAAGUUUUUGUUUAAUGCUUUCUCUCGGGGGUUCUUGUUCAACAAGCGUUCGACCAUGACCAGGAAAGCGAUUACCGUGUUCUGAGGGUUCUUGUUGGUUCAAUAUUUUAACAUCAGUUUGAGAACCUUGGGCAUAAAUUUCAUAAGUGGACAACUUACUAUUUGAAACUGAUUACAUAAAUUCCUUAGCCAUACAGACAUAGAAUCACAAUCACAUCAAGGAGAAGAUAUCUUGAAUCAAAUAAAAAUAUUAAUUAUAAUAAUACAUACCUGCCAUUGAUGAAAGCUCAACCAAAGUCUUCUAGUCUUGUGCUUGAUAGAUAUAUAGCUAGCGCGUUGUAUAUAUAAUAUUAUGAAGAGGUUUAGUGUCAAUUGAGAGCAUGGACCACCUCUUGAAAAUGGAAUAAGUUACUAUUAAAUAUGUGGAUUUAUUUAUUACUCUUUGAUAUAUCUGCAGUAUUCCUAUUGAUCAACUUGGAAAAGUCUUCCCAGCAAAAAAUUAAAAAUUAAAAAUGGAAAAGUCUUGUGAAAAAAGGACUGUGUGUGUGUGUGUGGAGAGAGAGACUAUUAUCAAAGAAACCUUAGCUUCCUCUCUUCCAAAAAUUACUCCUACUGUUGUUUUCACUUUGAGGGGGAGGAAGUCACUGUUCUUCCUCCCCACUCCCAUUUUCUCUUCCUCCUUUCUCAUUUUUCCCUAUUUUUAAAGACAUAAAGUUUCCCUUAUUUGUCUUCGUUUUGUUAUAAUUUUCCUCCAACCAUCACAUGCGGCUUCGUCUUGAUGUCAGAUUUCUACCGUCAUCUUUUUUGCAUUUUCUUUAUAUUUGGUACAAGUCGCAGAGACUCUUUAAGUUCUAUGUGUAAUUUUCACCUCUCAUUUUGUGAGAGCUUUUCACAUUUUAUUUUCCCUUUGAUCUGUACACAUUGGCCGUCCUCACGUUUUGUCCUGUCUUCACAUCACAUGUCACUACGAGACUAGUGACAAUCCUUAUGUGUUUUGUCAUUCUAAUCAUUCAUUUCGAAUAUACUUUUCACUGUAUUGGGUUAGAAUUUUUUAACUGUUUUCCUUUUCUCUUUCUUACACAAGAAAGAUUGAGAGGAUGAAGAAUCCAAUACAAAAGUUUAGAUGUUGCUUGCCAGUGCCACCAUUAGUCAUCUUCACAUCAUACACAUAAUCGAUUUGUUAAAUAAUUUUGUCUUGAGAUGAUAUAAAGUUGAUUUGUAUCAUGACCAUUGGUCCUUAACUUUUUUAUUUUAAUUCUGAUUUUCAAAACGUUUGCGCAUACACGCUCGUGAGCUCAAAUUCUUACUUUUCAUAUGCUUUUUCAACAUCUAAAGAUAUAUUCUUUCGUUAACUAACGUCACAUGGAAUUACUUAUUAGCUUCUGCACUAUUUUUUUGUCCCUAUAUAUGUCAUUAAUUCUAACAAAGUCGUGACAAUGGUUAAUGAUUGUUCAAAAUCUAGCUAUAGUGUCAAAUUUUUUAUUAAGUUGUAAACGUGGCUCGUGCCAUUAAGGAAAUUAGGGCUUAAUUCUCAAUUUGAAGAAAAGAUUAGAGUUAAACCUUUGCACUCAGGGCUCAACAAUCUUGGGGAAAUUUUAGAUAUCAAAUUGAGAUGGGCAGCAUUGAGGUUAGGGUUUUGACACUACUUUGAGGUGAUAUCGAGGAUUUGUGGAACUUACGACUAUAAGAAAGCGUAUUGACGUUGAUAGAGGGCCAAAGGAUCUUGGUGAAGUUUUUGCUUCCAACUGAGGUUGUUUAACUAUCAAGGCCUUGAGUUUAAAAUGCUGACUUCUUUAGGGAAUCUUAGUGGUAUUUAAUAUUGUGCAGGCAUCCUACUUGCUUGUGUUUGGGUUUACGUUGGUUAGUGGUGGUCCUACCUUGUGCAUAUACUGCUCUUGCUUUUCAAAUUGUGAUCAUUUCACCAUGAAUUCAAGUUUAAACAAGAUUCAGACCAAAAACAAAAGUUUGAACAAGAGUUUUGUUCACAUUUCACGUUUUCAAAUACUAUAUGGUAGGGUUUGAAAACAUGCUCGUGAACCAGCGAGUGGUCUCUAUCGUUUGAACUGUGACAUUGUUGAGCCUUGGCAUUACGUACGUGUCCCUUUCUAUUUUGGCAUAACUCUUUUUGAAUCUUAAAAACAAAUAGUUUAUGAAGGCUUAUAUAGUUGAAGGAGAAUUAUAAGCAUAAUCUUCAUUCAAUCACAGUGAAGAUUAAAAAGUUACAUGUCCACAUUGCCGGUCUCGCUGACAUCACUACUACAUUUUAUGAUUUGCGCGACGAAGACAAUUUCGUCGCGCAGAGUUGAAUUUGGUCGCACAAAAUCAAGCGCGACAGAAAAUUCGUCCCGCGUAAUCUGUCGCGCAAAGAUCGUGAAGAAAGACUUUGCGCGACCGACUGUAUCACUCGUUGCGCAAAUUUGUGCGACGGUUACCCUUUGUUACACAAAAGGUUCAGAGACGGCGCAAUAGUUCAUCGCACAAAUUUAAGCGCGACGAAAGAGAGUUCGUCGCCACUACGAUGCGCGGCGAAUAAUAUUCGUCGCGCAAUACGUCUCGUAUAUAUUUGCGGCACAAAGAGAUCUUCGUCGCGCAAUUCGUGUCUACAAGUAUUGUGCGACGAAAGAUCAUUGUCGCGCAUACGAAUUUUGCGCGACGAAAGUUUUCGUCGCGCGAAACGUGUCGUAGAUAUUUGCGGCACAAACAGAUCUUCGUAGCGCGUUUCGGGUCAACACAUUUUGCGCGACGAAAAACUUUUGUCGCGCAAAUCCUUUUUGAGCGACGAAAAUUUUCGUCGCGCAAGAAUAAAUUAUAUGUAUUUAAAAAAUGAAACAAUUUUAUUUCGUAAUAUAUAAAUUUGCGCGACGAGAAAAAUUUCGUCGCGCAAAAUUAAUAUAUAUAAUUAUUAUUUAAUUUUAAUGUUACUUUUUAUUUUAUUUUAUAUAAAAAAAUAAAUUUUUUUUUUGGGUAAUAAAAUGAAAUUCCAAUAAAUAAAUAAAAAAGAAUUGUAAAGAACAUAUUUAUUAUAUAAAAUAAAUGUAUACUGCAAGAGAAAUAUUUAAAAAAUAAUUAUGAAAAUAAAAAAAAAAUCAAAUAAUGUUCCAAAAUCUACAUUAUCGUCUGGCACAUGCGGUUCAGAGGUCUGGGGAUCUACAGGGCCUGUCGUCUGGUGGGGAUGCUCAGGAUGUACGAGUUCGGAGGUCGGCGCAUCAAAAUGCGGGACUGGAAUGCAGGACUGUGCGAGGGACUGUAGAAUGACCUACAUCUGACUCUGAAGAGUGGCCACUUGUGUUGUCUAAGCAGUGACCUGACUGUUUGACUGCGCUGAUGAACGGGGUCUGGGUUCCCUCCGCCUGGCAUUCCCCAUCCCUUGACAAUAUGUCCCCGGUCUCCUCCCGAGAGUCUGAUCCAAUGUCUCCAUCAAGAUCUAAAAUCCAGCAUCCUGUGGAGGAUCCACAAACUCGAUCGGAGUAUUAGGAGGAAGUUGGGAGGCGGACUCCUGAAGAACCAACUGGCUCUUCUCCACCAUCGUCGUCUGUUUAACAUAACAUAAAAUAUAAAUUAAAACAUUCUUAUAAUAACCUUUAAACUUGAAUGCGUAACAUAAUAAUUAUAAUUAAAUAAUACUCACAUGAAGGGACUCGGCUAACUUAUUCCCAGGUCGAACAUAAACGUCGCCAAAGACGUCGAUCUAUGGGAAUUUGGACCCCUCCUAAAUUGAACAAGAGAAGAAAAAUAUUAGUACGAAAACCAUUCUUUAUGAAUAAUUAAAAAUUAAAAAUUAAAUAAAAAUUAUUUUAUUAUUACCUGCCGACGUGCAUCCAUCCUAUAGGAGAAGGGCCUGAAACCGGAAUGAUGGAGAAGAGUCUUCUUCUUCCUAUUGCCCUUAUUGACUUUGGCUUUAUUCUGUUAUACAAAAAAUAAAACGUAUUAGUUGAAAUUGGAAUUAAAUAUAAAACAUUAAAAAAGAACAUUAAUAAGAAAAAUAUAAUAAAUUUGAAAUUAUAAAUUACUACAAAAGCGGGCGCCUGAAAAUGAGCGCAGAGCCACGCCCAACUAUCCUCCCGCCCCUCAAGCUCCUUCGGGCAACCCUCCUGAAGAGCGACUUCUGGAUCAUCAAACGCCUCAAAAUAGUGGUGCAAGUGGCUCUUCCACUGUUUGUACCUCUCAGAGAAGAGUCUGUUGACGUAUGCCAACGACUCGUCGUCCAGGUCCUCCAAGUUGUAGUUCAUCUGCAAUAAAUUAAUUACAUACAUUUAAAUAAUAGAAAUAUAAAAUUUGAAAGAAAAAGAAUUAAAAGGCAUACGUACCGACAACUAGCCGCGAACUUCCGUCUUGGUCUCGUCAGGCAUCACCUUCCAAGACUUCCAUUUCAUCGGGCAAUGGCUCCGAAUGACAUGACCAAUGUCUUGGGCCAAGGAACUAUGCAACUCUGCCGUCGGUGCAGCCCGAUGUCGCUCGACGUAUUCGAUGUUGAUACGACUGUUGGUCACCCGGGUGACCUUCGCCAUCUUCAACUGCCGACACGGCCCUCGGGUGUUCUUCUUGGCUGCAAAGAAAGAUGACAUUAAUGUUAAAUAAAUAACAAAUUUAACUAUAAAAUACACACACAAAUAAAAACAAAAACAAAAACCAAAACAAAAAUAAAAACAAAAAUAUAAAUAACUGGAGUUUAAGGAUAUCUAUACCUAGCUGUGACCCGGAUGCAUCAGUGGAUGUGGUGUCGGUGGUGCUGGCGGGCCGAUGACCCCGUCUGGCGCUAACAAGCUGUGCCACUGAUGAAGCUGAUGAAGCAGGCGCUUGGGACCCCGCGGGACCAACUGCCAAGUGGUCCAUCAGUGCUGGCGCAGUGGCAGCAGAUGUCGGGCGAGCCGGGGGCUCCGAACUCUGCUUAAUCGUCACUGCCCUACGACGUCUAAUCAGGUCUGACAUCUGCACAAUUUCAUUAAUACACAUACAAAUUAAUAAAAUAUACAAAUAUUUGAAAGCACAUACAAUUUUAUUAAGAUUCUUGACCAAGGGUUUGCGAGUUUGGAGUAUCCGGGACUCCGAUCCACGAUCCGUCGAAUCCUAGACGAUCCUAGAAAUACAAGGUACACCAUACAUGAGUUUGAGUUCGAUCCAACGGUUUGAACAUAAACCCGAAAAUCGCACAAUAGGCAAAAUCCGUUCGAGACUCAAACGGUAACCAAAUUCCAAUCUGAAAACACCUACGCGCUCGUGACAAAUAGGGGAUUGCACUGGGACCCAAUGCAGUGGUGCUACAGUAUCCCACGCGCCACCACACGCGCCGGCAGCGCGUGGGUGUCCAAAGCGAUACCAAUCGCCGGAAAUUUCUAAAAACUAAGGGCCAAGGUUCCUACCCUAGGUUCAAAACAUCAAUUGGAGCCACUUUUGUUCUCGGACCUACCUCAAAAAAUGGCCAGAAGUGGCCAGAAUUUAAAUUCAAAAACCAGCCGAAACUUAGGGUUUUGAAAUUGACUGACCUAUUGCAACAAUUACAUAAAUCCUACCCAACCAUCAGCUAAAGCAUCUAAAAUAGGACAGAAACCAUACCUCAAUUGUCGAAUUUGGUCGCCGGAGGAGAGAGAACGACGGCGGCAGAGAUUCGGUGAAAACCGAGGAAAUAACGGCGGCUGGCUCGACGGUGACGGCGGGGAACCUCCGGGGUACCAGCGUUGUGGCGGUGCCGUCCAAAAUGCACUAGGGUAGGGGCUGAGCUGACGGCGGAGAGAGAGAGAGAGUUAGGGCAGAAAAGUAAAGUCGGGGAAGAAGGAGGGUAUCGCGUCGUUUCUGCAAUUUUAUUCGAGUUUGCUGACGAAGAACCAAAAGCGUCGCGCAAAAUAUUUUAAUUGACACUUGCGCGACGACGCAGUAUCAUAUAUUCAUCGCGCAAUGUUGUCAAUCCGCCAAAAUUUUGGGACUUAGGGUUAAGCGGGAGAGAUUGAAAACUUUGCGCGACGCUUCCCUUUUUUCGUCGCGCAAUGUUGUCAAUCCGCCAAAAUUUUGGGACUUAGGGUUUAGCGGGCGAGUUUGAAAACUUUGCGCGAUGCUGCCCUUGUUUCUUUGCGCAAUGUUGUCAAUUUGCCAAAAUUUUGGGACUCAGGGUUUAGCGGGAGAGAUUGAAAACUUUGCGCGACGCUGCACGUAUUUCGUUGCCCAAAUCCUAUUUCUGUAAACUUUCAAAAAAAUUUGGCUAAGUGUCCGAGGAGAAAGGGGGUGGCUGAGAUUGCGCGACGACGAACCUUGUUUUGUUGCGCAAAUCCUGUUUCUGUAAACUCUCAAAUUUUUUUGGCUAAGUGUCCGAGGAGAAAAGGGGUGGCUGAGAUUGCGCGACGACGAGUUGUGGUUUCGUCGUGCAAGACUGUUGUUUGCAAGCUUUGUGCGACCAACGAAACCUGUUCGUCGUGCAAACUCUAAACCCUAAACCCUAAACCGAGGAAACCAUAAACCCGAAACUAGUUUUAAUGAUCCAACCGGCAAACUUGUUUUUUUAUAUUUCGAGAUCGUAUACACCGAAAAUCUGACAAAACAAACGUUAGGAAAUCAAGUAACGGUACAAAACUUUUCGACGGUUCUAAAUGAAAAGUCAUGAUUUAACGGUUAUUUUAACUCCAAUUUUGAUGAUUUUUUACAGCUACUUUUCUUGACCCUAUAUGAAUACAAUUACUGAAUUUGAUCUUCAAUUUAAGAUGUUUACACUAGGGUGAUACCACAUAAUCUUAUGUUAUACUUAACGAAAGUAUAAGUAAACUAUUCAUUGUUGGUGAAUAUAUGGUUUUGAUGGCACACGCAUUCUACGAAAGUAGUUUCAAUAAUCCAGCCGUCAAACGUGUUUGUUUAUAUUUCGAGAUCUUAGGCCCCAAAAAUUAGAAAAAAAACACAUUCAGAGAUCAAGUAUCGGGACAAAACUUUUGAAUGGUUAUAAACAAAAAGUCAUGAUUUAACGAUUAUUUUAACUCUGAUUUUGAUGAUUUUUUACAGCUACACUCCAUGACCCUAUAUGAAUACAAUGAACCAACUCGAUCGUCAAUUUCGAAUAUAUAUGUGUAUAUAACAUAUAUUAUAAAAGAAUAUAUAUUUGCGUGACGAGAAACAUUGUUCGUCGCGCAAAAUUCCAUCGCGCGACAGAUAAGAAUUUGUCGCGCAAUGUUUUAACUUUACGCGACGACUGUGUUCUCGGUCGCGCAAACUUUGCGCAACGAGGGUUUCUUGGUCGCGCAAAAUUGCAUCGCGUGACAGAUAAUAUUUGUCGCACAAUUUGUUAACUUUGCGCGACGACUGUUUAAUGGGUCGCGCAAACUUUGCGCGACAAGGUAAUCUUCGUCGCGCAAGGGUUUUCAUUUUUGAAAAAUGUUUGGUGUCAAUAAUUUUCAAACUUUGUAUGAAAAUGGUCUGGAUAUAUUUAUUUAUCAAUGUUUUAUAACAAAUGUUUUAUCAUUUUCAUUUUGUAAACGUGUUUUGUCAAAAAAAAUUUAAAAAUUAAUAUUAAAAUGGUUUGGAUAUAUUGAUUUACCAAUGUUUUAUAACUAAAUUUAUUUUAAUAAUGUUUCAGUUGUCCACAUAUAUAAGGUUUGGAUAUAACAACUACAUUAUAUUCAAACUUUUGUAUUACACAAAGUCUGUACACUAGCAUAAUAAAAUUACAAAAAAUUUAAUUAUUCAUCAUCUGAACUAUAGUAACUUUCGUUAUCGUCGCUAUCAUCACUUUCGGUCUCCCAAUCCUCCUCCUCCUCCUCUAUAACUACAUCAUCUGCGUUGCUCGGGCCCACUGCAACAUCGAAUCUUGGAAGAUCCCCGAGGUCAAUUGUAAUUGACUGAAUUGGUAUUUCGAUUGAAGACACUCCUUGUAUUUGAAACUGUUCUUGUAUAACAUGUGUAUCUCGAAGUGUUUCCGCAUUAUUUUCCAUUGAAGAUUCUAAACGUUGGUCAGCCACAUUGUCGACGUCGUUGUCAGUUGGGUCUAGUUCUGGUAUAGCAUACACGUUCCUAUGAUCCAUCUUCUGAACAACUUUCCAACUGCUCCCAGCUUUAGGGUCAUCUAGAUACACAAUUUGUGUUGCCAUGUUUGCCAAAAUGUAAGGGUCGUCAUCAUACCAAGUUCUGUUAAUGUUCACAGAGAGUAAGCCAUGGUUGAUUUUAACACUUCCCGGCCUAUUUGGGUUACUAUCAAACCAUCGACACUUAAACAUGAUCACUUGGUAUCGAUCUUUGUAAAGCAAUUGAACGACAGUUGUGAGUUUGCCAUAAAAAUCAAUGUUCGUACUUUCGCCUCCACCUGGGACAUGGACACCGCUGUUUUGCGUACACAACUUGUCAUCAAGUACAACCCCCAAAAAUUUGACGCCGUUAAUAUAACAACCCGAAAACAAUUCAGUCGAAUUGGGCCGAACGCUAAGUUAUAUAACUCAUCACUAUAAGUGGGGGAAUUCGAUGAUUUCAACUUAUUCACUUAAUAUAAUACAAAACCAUUCACAUGUUAGUCUGACAAAAUUAAAUACUACAAUUUAUAUUUGUCAAAUACAAAACACUUAUAACUUACAUAAUCCAAAAACCAUUGUGGAAACAAUUCACAGUGUUUCUGGGCAACUAAAUGUGAUGGAUGUUCUCGCGCCAUCAUCUCUUCAUGCUCAUCUAAGUAUGCCAUUAUCUCAUCACAAUUGUUCAGUACGAACCAAUGCGCUACCUCCAUGUCAUUUCUAGAAAACGACUCUCCUCAUCCAGGAUCUCCAAAGGGUCGUGCGUUUUGGGAAAAAACAGAAAGUUUUUCCUUUCUCAUACCUCCGUCGUUAUUGAGCUGAGGACGAUUGAAAGCCGUCUCCACAUCUUUUAAAUACAUUCCAUAGAAAGUAAGCGACUCAUAUUGAACCCACGCCUUUAUAAUUGAUCCUUCGGGCUUCGCCCUGUUGCGUACACUUUUUUUCAGCUCUCCGAGAAGCCUGUCAAAAUAAAACGAUAUGAUACAAAUUAGCAAGUCUGUGAUAAUAAUGCAUACACAAACGAUAAAGAUUAUAUACCUUCCUAUUGGAUACAUCCAGCGAUAGUUGACAGGACCAGCAAGUAAUGCCUCUUCUGGCAAGUGAACCAUCACGUGCAUCAUACUUGUGAAGAAAGCUGGAGGAAAUAUCAUCUCAAACUUGAAUAGGACUUGGACAAUGUCAUGGCGCAACUGAAACAUGUCUGUCUUUCGCAAUGUUUUUGCCGUCAGUUGGGAAAAAAAUCUGGACAACAACAUGAUUGGCUUCACAACAUCUUCCGGCAAUAGAUGUCGAAUACCCACAGGAAGUAGGCGUUGCAUAAACACAUGGCAGUCAUGGCUCUUCAGUCCAGUAAAUUUACCCCCGUCAACAUUCACGCAACGUGCGAUAUUAGAAGCAUACCCAUCAGGAAACUUUACAGACGAUACAAACUUUAGAAACUCUUUUUUGUCAUUCGGUUUCAUAGAAAAGAAUGCAAGAUCCCUUCUAGCUUUAUCACUGUCCCUGUUCAUCCAUAAACCCCUUCGUAUACCCAUUCUUUCCAAAUCAAGACGGGCUUUGCUUGUGUCCUUUGUCCUGCCCUCGAUAUCUAGAAUCGUGCCCACCAAUGUGUCAAAUACAUUUUUCUCAACAUGCAUCACAUCUAGAUUGUGCCUUAAUUUGAGUUUCGACCAAUAUGGGAGCUCAAAAAACAUAGGCUUGUGAGUCCAGUUCAUAUGUGUAGAAGGUCUGGUCCGACUAACUGUUUUUCCAAACAGAGCAAAAUCCAAACGAUUAAGUUGUUCCAAAUCUCAUCACCGGACCAUUCUCUAGGUCUGAGGCGACGCUCUGUGUUCCCGUCGAACUCUUUAUCUUUUUUCCGCCACUCGUGGUCCCAUGGCAACCAUCUCCGAUGACCAAGGUAACAAACUUUUUCCGCAUGCCAACCAGAAGUUACAUCUUCCUUGCAUAUAGGACAUGCCAUAUAACCCUUUGUGCUCCACCCAGAAACUAUUGCAUAUGGUGGAAAAUCAUUCACAGUCCACAUAACUGCUACCCGCAAAGUAAACAUCUUCCCAGUUGAUUUAUCGUACGUGCGAACACCGUUUGUCCAUAAAUCUUUCAGCUCAUCAACCAGCGGCCUUAAGUAAACAUCGAUUGACCUCCCAGGAUCCUCAGUUAUCAAAACAGUCAUCAUCAUGUAUUCUUUUUUCAUGCAUUUUCAAGGCGGCAAAUUAUAUGGGAAUCCGAAAAUCAGCCAAGUGCUGUGGUGUUGGUUUAGAACCCCAUACGGAUUGAAUCCGUCAGUGGCAAGUCCCAAUCUCACAUUUUGGGGAUCAGCAGCAAACUCGGGGAACGUUCGAUCGAACUUUUUCCAUGCCUCCCCAUCUGCACGAUGCCGCAUCACAUCAUCGUCUACCCGUUUUUCCUUAUGCCAUCUCAUGUCUGUGGCAGUAUGCGUCGACAUAUACAAUCGCUGCAACCUAGGUUUCAGGGGCAGAUAACGCAUGAUUUUUUGUGGGAUCUUAGUCAUUCUAUUCUGAGAUGUCAUUUGAACGUCGACUCAUCGCAUAUAGGGCAUGUCUCCAACGUUUCAUGCUCCUUGUAGAAUAACAUGCAAUUAUUUUUGCAAGCAUGAAUUUUUUCAUAACCCAAUCCAAGACCAUUCAACACCUUCUGCGCGUGUUUAUGGUCUUUCGGCAAACAAUUGUCCGUCGGAAGCAUUCUCUUGAAAACUCCCAAAAAGUAAUCGAAACACAAGUUCGACAUGCGAUACUUUAUUUUUUCGUGCGUUAGCUCUACAAUGGCCGUGAGAACGGAAAAGCUCUCGCACCCCGGGUAUAGCUCUUAGUUGGCAUUUUUUAACAGUUUUUCAUAUUGUUCAAACUCCGCGCUGUCUAUUGGUGUAGGCACGUCAUCUUCCCUUUCGUGAUUGAUGUUGGUUGAUGCAAAUGGAAAAGUAUCAUGUAUAAUAUCCAUGACUUGAUCAUUAGGAUCCACAAUAGGUUCAACACCGUCCAUUCUUGUGGCAUUUGAAGACGAAGCAUGGUCUAAUUGUUCCCCAUGAAGGUUCCAAAUGCUAUAUGUCUCAAUCAUUCAAUUCCUUACUAAAUGAAAUCCAACAUUUUCAAUUGUCUCCCACAACGUGUUAUUACACCUCCUACAAGGACAUCGGAUUCUAGUUGCACCCGAGUUGUGUCUACGUGCAAACUCAAUAAAAUCCUCGAUCCCAUCCAAGUAUUCGUCUGCACAUCUAUUCGGGUUCUGUAUCCACCUUCUGCUCAUAAUUCUUGAAACCACAAUCACAACAUAAUAAUCACAACAACUUCAUACGAAGUUAUAAUGUCACCUUAUGCCUCCGGUAAGGGCCCUAUCCCAUUCGGAAAUGCAUUGUCCUGUCACGUAACCUACGGCUACAUGAGAUUAGAUUUCGACAUGGAUGAAUUUCGACAGCAUCUCGAUACAGUUCUUGAGCUGGGCAUAGGUAUAAAUACCUACGUACCACCCGAAGAACGUACCGAGAUGACACCGAAAUCUCCACAAACGAAACAUAAUCAUGUAGCCGUAGAUUACGUGACAACACUAUGCAUUACCAAACUGUCCAAAUAUGGGACAAUUCAAGAAUUAAUUGGACCGCAGUCAUGCUUUACGCAUCCAUGUACGAAAUCCAACUAAUCUCGAACAGAAAACUAAAUGUUACAAAACAUACAAAUAAAAGUACGAAGUUAAUUUCAAUUAACUUCGUACAUCACAACACAUUGUGCUACGUCACGCACAAUUUAAUAACAUAAUAUAAAUAUAACUUCACAAAAAAAUAUACACAUAACAAAUUAACUUUAACAUUUUUAAUAUAUAAAACGAAUAAAAUACAUUAUCAAUCGUUCUCCACAAAUCGCUAAUUACAAAUAUCCCUAACGAUAACAAAAUUAAUGGCGUUAGUAUGAAUUUACAUUAAUACUUAUAAACUAACGAUAAAAAAUACUUACCCAAUCAACGUACUGAAUUUCCAUCAGAGGCAGCAACAGAGAGGUUGAGAGAGACGCAGAGACAGAAAGGAAAUUUGUUCCUUUCUGCCUCUGCAAUGGCAGAAUUCUAAUAUGAAGAAGAAAGACUUUGCGCGACGAAACAUAUAUUUCGUUGUGCAAAAUACCGUCGCGAAAAACCAUUUUUCCGUCGCACAAAACGUGUUUUUCCGUCGCGCAAAAACUUGCAUACAAAAAAACUUUUGCGCGACACCAGAAAUUUUCGUCGCACAAAUUCUAGAUAUCGUCGCGCAAAAACAAAAUUCCGUCGCGUAACAUUACGUUUCGUCGCGCAAGAAUGUACCGACAUCUGCUUUAUGCGACGAAAUCUAAUUCAUCGCGCGAACAAAAAUAUCCCCCUCUAUUUAUUUUGGCGCCUAACCUUUACGCGACGAAGUUUCAGAUCGUCGCGCUAGGUUUUCUUACGCGACGUUUGCUCUCGCCGCGCAAGUGUUUGGUGCCAAAAAAAAACUCGACUGUUUUUUCGCUCACUUUGCACGACAAAGGAGUGUAUCUGUCGCGCUAAGAGAGUUUGGGCUUCGAAAAUUUUGGUCGCGCAAGUUUUCACUUUUUUGCGUGACGAAACUUUUUUUCCGUCGCUUUAUUGCAUUUUGUCCGACGAAUUUUGAUUCGUCAUGCAAAAGCUUGUCGCGCAAAUAGAAAAACGUAGUAGUGCAUUGACUCUCACUAUGGUAGGAUGGAGGCUUAGUUAGGACUUUGGUUCCUUACUUAGUUAGGAUUUUAGUUACUUAUCAAUUUAUUUAGUCCUAUUGUAAUUGAGAUUUAUUUACCCUAAACCUCUCCUCCCCUUCUCUUCAAGAGAGGAAGGGAGAGUGAAAAGGAUAUGUUUCUCUAGGGCUGAUUUUUGGACGGAUCAAAUCAGAAUAAGAGGAUUCCCAUCCCAUUGUAAAAAAAAUUGAAAUGAAAAUUCUUUUCCAAUUAUGUUCCAAAAAUUUUCGAAUUUCAAAAUCAAUUCAAAUUAGAUAUUUCGGAAUUCUUUUGGAAAAUUUCGGAAAAUCAUUGGAAGUUUUAAACAUGUCUAACAAUUUGAACGGUUGAAGUUGGCUCAAAAUUGAAAAAUCACAUGAAAAAGCUCAAACAACUAUUAUAUGAUAUAAUUUAUAUGUCGUUAUCCUUUAUGAAAUAGCUCGUCCGUCUAUGUUUAUUUUGAUUAUUAAGUCAUACCAAAUUCAACAUGAAACUAGUCAUUAUGUACAAGAACCCCAUAUAUAUUACGGAAUUCAAAAAUAUUUAAUUACUGAAAUGCCCUUAAAGAAAGUAUAGUUUAUUUCAUUUGGAAUUCAACAUGAAACUACUACAACUUUUCAUGUGGAAAUAUUCUAUAAAAAUAUUCUCUAUACUUAUGAUAUGUAUUAACAUAAAAAUUCAUUAUUAAACUAUUGUUUGGCUACAUGGUGGGGGAGGUGGUGUGCUACAAGAAGAUGAGAGUGGGUGAGGUGGUCGGUCGGCUAGUAAAAUAUGAGAGGGUGAUGAAGGUGGUACGAAGAUGAGAGAGUGGGUGAGAGUGGGUCAGGUAUUGCUACCUUAUCAUUAUUAAUUUAUGGCUUGGACUCCUGUGGUCCAAGAGAUCGGGACUGUAUAUAUAUAUAUACACACACACACCAUUCAACAAUCCAACCAUCAAACUUGUUUGUAUAUACUUCAAGAUCGUAUACCCCAAAAAUAACAAAAAACAAACAUUCAGAGAUCUAGUAAUGGGACAAAACUUUUCGAUGGUUAUAAAUGAAAAAUCACGAUUUCACAGUUAUUUUAACUCCGAUUUUGAUGAUUUUUUACAGCUAAACUCCUUGACCUUAUAUGAAUACAAUGACUGAAUUUGAUCUUCAAUUUCAAAUAUUUACACUAGUGGAUACCACAAAAUCUUAUGUUUAUAUUUAACAAAAUUAUAAAUACACUCUUAAUUGUUAGUGAAUAUAUUGUUUUGAUGGCAUACGCAUUCUACAAAACUAGUUUCAACGAUCUAACCGUCAAACUUGUUUGUUUAUACUUCAAGAUCAUAUACGCCAAAAAUUGAAAAAAAUAAACAUUUAGAAAUCAAGUAACGGGACAAAACUUUUCGACGGUUAUACAUGAAAAAUCAUGAUUUAACUGUUAUUUUAGCUCUGAUUUUGAUGAUUUUUUUACACUACACUCCUUGACCCUAUAUGAAUACAAUGACUAAAUUUGAUCUUCAAUUUAAAAUAUUUACACUAGUGGAUACCACAAAAUCUUAUGUUAUAUUUAAUGAAAGUAUAAAUAAACUCUUAAUUGUUAUGGCAUACACAUUCAACGAAACUAGUUUCAACGAUCCAACCGUCAAACUUGUUUGUUUAUACUUCGAGAUCAUAUACGCCAAAAAUUGAAAAAAAUAAACAUUCAAAGAUCAUGUAAUGGGACAAAAUAUUUCGACGGUUAUAAAUAAAAAAGAAUGAUUAAACGGUUAUUUUAACUCCGAUUUUGAUAUUUUUUACAGCUACACUCCUUGACGCUAUACGAAUACAAUGAACUAAUUCGAUUGUCAAUUUAAAAUAUAUAUUUUCUAACAAAAACCCAAUCCGAACUACAAUAAUAUAUUUUUCUAACAAAAAUCUGAUCCGAUCUAAAAUAAUAAAUUUAAAGCCACUUAAUAAAUAUUUAUAUACCGUUUAAUUUCUUAAGUGUUAUGCAUACAAAAUAAAAAAAACAAAAAUAAAUUGGUUUAGGUGACAAAAUAUUUGGAUUACGUCAUGCAAAGAUAUUAAAAAAUAAAUUUUUUAUUUUAUUUAUUUUUAUAAAGACUUUGCGCGACGAAGUUUUAUUAUUUUGUUGCCCAAAGUCACUUUGAGCGACAAUGAAUUGUCGUCGCGCAAAAGUUUAUCUUGCAAAGUGACUUUGCCCGAAGAAUUUUUUUUCAUCGUGCAACAUUGGUCGCGCAAGACUUUGAGCGACGAAGUUUUGAGUUUCGUCGCCCAAAGUGACUUUGAGCGACGAAUAGUUUUUCGUCGCGCAAAAUUUGGUCGAGCAAGGGUUUUUUUUAUACUAGUGAUAGGAAAUAAUAAACAUCAUUCCAAACCUAUAUAUAUAUAUAUAUAUAUAUAUAUUUGAUUAGAAGCAGAACUCACACUAAGGGUAUACCAACUUGAGCUAUUCUAAUCAUAUUGAUAUUGGGCUAUACUCACAGAGAGUAAACAUCAAAAAAUUUCUUCAUGCCACCUAAAACGCCAUAUUUGAACCUUGAGAGACUAGAGGAAAUAGCUCUACUCCUCUAAAAAAUUGUACCAACCUAUCUUUGGUGGGUUCUUCAAUCUUAGUAAGUUUUUAUCUUUUUAUAUAUAUUCAAUUUCCAAUUUUAAUAUUUGUUGUUAAGUUUUUAUGAUUUUGGGUUUGGGUGAAAACUUUUGGAGAUUGUUGAUAUAUGUUUUAUUUUUGCAACUUGAAUUAUUAAUUAGCAUAUAUGAUUUUUGGUGUCUAUUAGGAUAUCAUGUCACAUGAUAAUAGACCGGCAAAGAGAGGAAAAAUUAUUUAUUCAUUCUUAAAAAAAGUGGAUUUUAUUUAUAUUUUGUACUUUUUUGUGUUAUAUUUGCUUGCAAUGUGACUUUGUUUGAUUUAUUAAAUUUUAUUUACAUUUUGUUUCAAGAAAAAAGGCUUAUAAUAUAUCUCUUCUCUGAAAAAAAUUAUUUAGCCUACCCCUAUAAAAAUUCCGGGAUCUACCAUUGUUGACAUUGAUAGAGGGCCAAAGGAUCUGGGUGAAGUUUUUUGCUUCCCACUGAGGUUGUUCAACAACGAUGGUCUCCCUUGCCCGCCAACAAAUGCCUAAUACUGUGUGCCGGUCUGGAUGGCUCUGAAUCCUCUGAGCUUGAGGUGGUUUUGUUGUCUCUCACCCAGCAAUUGAUUAUCUAGACGGAGUCCUUGUGCUGUGUUAGGUGUUUUUAAUAUUGUUUCCUUUAUUUUGCUUUCUGUGCUUAGUGAUCAUGUACAGUUUGAUAAUUUGGGAAUAUCUUCUUUUGGGUUCUCCUCUUUUAUUAAUGAAGUUCGGUUCAUCCGAUUUGAACCCUCAAAAAAAAAAAAAAAAAAAAAAAACUAUCGAGCCCUUGAGUUUAAAAUGCUGGCUUCUUUAGAUGUACGGCGCGUAAGGUUUUUUUUUUUAAUCGUUGACAGCUAUUGCGAACUGCAACUUUUGCUGUUGUAAUAGUGAACAUUAUUGUUUCCGAGUGGUUUAGGGAAUCUUAGUAGUACUAAAUUAAUAUUGUGCAGGCAUCUUAGGGAACCUUACUUGCGUGUGUUUGGGUUUACGUUAGGUUAGUGGGGGUCCUACCAUGUGCAUAUACUGCUCUUGCUUUUCAAAUUGUGAUCAUUUCACCAUGAAUUCAAGUUUGAACAAGAUUCAGACCAAAGACGAAAGUUUGAACAAGAGUUUUGUUCACACUUCACCUAUGGUAGGGUUUGAAAACAUGCCCGUGAACCAGCGAGUGGUCUCUAUCGUUUGAACUGUGACUUUGCUGUGUCUUGCCAAUACGUACGUGUCCCUUUUUAUUUUGGCAUAACUCUUUUUGAAUCUUAAAAACAAACAGUUUAUGAAGGCUUAUAUAGUUGAAGGAGAAUUAUAAGCAUAAUCCUCAUUCAAUCACGGCGAAGAUUAAAAAGUUACAUGUCCACAUUGCCGGUACCGCCGACAUCGAUUCUCACUAUGGUAGAAUGGAGGACAAAAUUUGUUGGCGAGUCCUAGUUAGGACUUUAGUUCUUUACUUAGAAUUUUGGUUACUUACUAAUUUAUUUAGUCCUAUUGUAAUUGAGAUUUAUUUACCCUAAACUUCUCCUCUCAUUCUCUUCAAGGGAGGAAGGGGGAGUGAAAAUGAUAUGUUUCUCUAGGGCUAAUUUUCGGAUGGAUCAAAUCAGAAUAAGAGGAUUCCAAUCCCAUUGUAAAAAAAAAUUUAAAUGAAAAUUCUUUUCCAAUUAUGUUCCAAAAAUUUCCGAAUUUCAACAUCCAUUCAAACUCGAAAUUUCGGAAUUCUUUUGUAAAAUUUCGAAAAAUCAUUUGAAGUUUUAAACAAGUCUAACAAUUUGAACGGUUGAAGUUGGCUUAAAAUUAAAAAAUCACAUGAAAAAGCUCAAGCAAGUAUUAUAUGAUAUAAUUUAUUUGUCGUUAUCUUUUAUGAAAUAGCUCGUCCGUCUAUGUCUAUUUUGAUCAUUAAGUCAUAUCAAAUUCAACAUAAAACUAGUCAUUAUAUAGAAGAACCCCAAAUAUAUUACGAAAUUUAAAAAUAUUUAAUUACUGAAAUGCCCUUAAAGAAAGUAUAGUUUAUUUCAUUUGGAAUUCAACAUGAAACUACUACAACUUUUCAUGUGGAAAUAUUCUAUAAAAAUAUUCUCUAUACUUAUGAUAUGUGUUAACAUAAAAAUUCAUUAUUAAACUAUUGUUUGGCUACAUGGUGGGGGAGGUGGGGUCCUACAAGAAGAUGAGAGUGGGUGAGGUGGUCGGUCGGCUAGUAAAAUAUGAGAGGGUGAGGAAGGUGGUACGAAGAUGAGAGAGUGGGUGAGGGUGGGUCAGGUAUUGCUACCCUAUCAUUAUUAAUUUAUGAUUUGAAAAUGUACAAAUUCUACAAUUUGAGGAAUUUAAAACUUCAGCAAUGGUGAUGCUCAGAAGAACCUUAUUGCCUAUAUCAUAUAUGCGUGCAAUCAAGCAGUAAAAUUGAGGGAAUUAACUAACUAAAGCUGAACUUGGGAGGAGCAUUAAUAUUAACUAUCGACAUAAUAUAUAAUUUAUUUUGGGAGUGGACUUUUAUUUUCUCCGCUUACACUCUUUUUUAUUUUUAAUAUUUUUUAUUCAAUUUUUUUAUUUUUUAUUAUAUUUUUUUUUCUAUUUUACCCUUGAUGACAUGACAAGUGAGAUAUCUACUUUUGUGUUGAUGUGUGAAAAAAGAAAUAAUAUAAAAGUAAAAUAAGUAAAAGUAAAAUAGAAAAGAAAAAGAUUAAAAAAGAUUAAAAAAAGAUUAAAAAAAAGAAAGAAAUGCAAGUGAAAAACAGAGGAAUGAAAAAAUGAGCUCCCUUUAUUUUACUCAUGAAAUUAAUAUUACAUGUAAGUAAGAUGAAUGGAGGGGAGGCCCUAGCUAGCUUCAGAUCUCAGUGAGUCUUCAGUUCACUGCUUCGUCUUCAUCAGUACCGGAGGCCGAGUCGGUUCCUCCACCGGCGUCGACUGGUUACUCUUUCCCUUGGCCUUUAUAGAUGCGGGUGUUGCCAAGCUCAAAAAUUCCUACUCUCUCCGAUUUUAUCCCCGUAAUAUUAUUCCCAACGAUGUUGAAGUCAUUGCCUCUCCCGCCCUUGUCUUUUUUCUUGGGUUGGAGAGUUUUAGUGCUCACUGAUGGGGAUUUCGAGCUGUUGCUGUUUUGUUGGUCGGUGUUCGCCUUAGAAGAAUCCUUAGAACCUUGUUUCUGAUCACCAAGCUGAGGCUUCAGAUAUAGCCAGCCGGUAGACAUUUUCACCGUCUGGGAUCCUUGUCUGGAGGUAUCGAUAAUUGGCUGCUUGUGUGCCAAACAAAACUCUUUUUCUUUAUAUAUAAGACAAAGCAACCAAUUGGCAGAGCACGCGGGUCCAUUGUACCCCAUUAGUAAGUUGAAUAAAGAAGAGAAGUGAGUAAAAAAAUUUUGCUCAUGUGGGUGUGAACCUGUUUAACAAUUGCGCUUCAUGAUAACAAUAGAAAUUUGAUGGGGUUAGUAAUUUUAAUUGUUUAUCAUUAAUAAAGUUUACAUAAUUAAUUAGCAUUUGUAAUCAUGCAAUUACCUUUUUCUAAUGAUAAUUUAUUUAAUAUUAGUAGCAGCCGUCACCAUUUCAAUUUGGAUCUACAAAUAUUUUUUAUGUCCCAUCAUGUGAAAGAAACAUGAACACCAAUAGGAAAAACGAAAAUUUUCCACCCACAUAAAGUACCUUCGUCUUGACUAUACUACUCCAAGAUGAUUAUCAGGAUUCUUUUUUUAUUUAUUAUUCCCAUUUUUAUCCUCACCUCUAUACAAGAUGGGUCUCCAAAUGAAGCUGAAUACCUGCACAAGGAGAUGGCAACAAAACCCUUUACUGGUCCCUCUAGAAAAGUUUCUGAAACUCAAACAGAGCUCCCACGAAAAGAAACUGAAACAGUGCUCCCACAAAAAGAUACUGAAUCAGAGCUCCCGCAAAACAGAACUAGUGAGGCAGAAAAUAGUAAUAACCAGACCUGGAACAUUCGUGAGAAUGUAAUUACCGGAGCAGAAAGCAGAAACGUUGGGGUUUUCGACUUUGGCAACGAAUAUCAUGAAGGUGGUGCUGUUGAUCAUCAUCAAGGAAGGAAGGGUCAAAACAACAGAGACUACAACAUUGAUGGCAACAAGAUUGAUUCAAAAGAUGGGGAGUUUGUUGGGAUCGGCAAAUUUGGCAACAAGUACUACAACCCGAGGAAAGAAGAAGGAACGAGCAAGAAGCCAUGGUAUAAGUUUUGGUAAAAAUAAACGAGAGAAAGUAAGGGAGCUGCGCUGCUGAAUAAAGAAAGAGGGUGGAGUUCAUUUCCAUUUUAAAGUCCAUGUCUUUGUUUCUUUGUAGUGUCUACUAUUUGAAUGUGGUUAGUUACAGUAUUGGAGUUGAGAAUCUGGUCGCUUGGGUCGAUCUGUGGAAUUUAAAAUAUUGAUUUGCAGCAUGAAAAAUACGUUCUAAAUGAGAAAAGUAGGGAUUAUGAACCCCGAUGCCAUGUGGGUCUUGAUCAAAAUCAUAGAAGGAUCAACCCCUAACAUAUACUCAUCAGUAAUCUGUGUGUAUUUGAAUUUAUUAAUUUGUGCAAACGAGAAGAGGAAACUUUCCCGCAUUCGAAUGCCAUGAACACCUGAAAGCUUAAUUCUGAGCAUGAGAAAGAACUAAUAGCGAAGAAAUCUGACUUAUUGAUUGCCACAAAACCAGUCCAUCCAUAAAUCUAGUUUUUCCUGCCCCAUAACAUGUGGUAGAGUCUUGACCUGCCCCAUAAGAUCUAGUUUUUUGCCAACUAUUUAUUUUUGUUCUUCUCAGUCGUGCCCUUUUUUUACUCAAGCCGCUUGUAUCAUUUUUUGUUUUGCUUACUCACCAUUGAUAUAUAAAAGAGAAAAGAAGAAGCAAUAACUAGAAGAACAAGAAGACCAAGAAGAAAUGGUACGCUCGACUUCUUGUUGUACUUGUUGCCAACUUCUUUUUUCUUUUUUCUUCCCAAAGAUGUUAAACAUUUCUUAAUCUCCUUUCUUUUUUCUUUUGCUUCUCUGUUUGAAUUUUCUCUCUUUUUGGUUUUGCUUACUCUCACAGUGGCUAUGAAACAAAAAGGCUAGAACAAGAAGAAAUAAUACUCAUGGCAUGUACACAAGAAGAAAAAGAAAUAAUACUUACUCAGCAUAUAUCAAUAUACUUAUGGCAUGUAGAAGAUGAAGAAAUACAUAAAUAUAUAUAAGAGAAAUAAGAUUCAGAUUCAAGGAAAGGAACGCAAAGAAAAGUUUGAGUAUAGGAGCUCUAGUGGCCAUACAUCUCCAAACCCUUCCACUACGUAAUAGUAUGGGAAACUCCAAACCGAAUAUAUCUUUCUUUCUCACUUACUGAUUUUUCUCUUCUUUUUCUUCUUGGUCGUGCCUUUUUUUUUUCAAUCAAGCCGCUUGCUUCAUUUUUUGCUUUGCCUACUCACCGUUAAUAUAUAUAAAAAAGCUAGAACAAGAAGAACAAGAAGACCAAGAAGAAAUGGUAUGCUCGAGUUUUUGUACUUGUUGCCAACAUUCCUAAUCCCAACAUCUGCACUGUUAAUUGCGGCGAUAUUAUUAUUAGUAAUAUUGUUGGUCUCAUUGCUUUCAUCAAUAUUUUUUGCCUCACGAUUUUCAUUUUGCUGGGGCUCUUGUUUAGAUCUUUCUUCUUGGGACUCUUCUCCAAAAAGCAUUCUAGGAUGACCAAGAAAGUGAUUUCUUACCCUCCCCUGUGGCCUCUGUUUCAGUUGUUCAGCUUCAGUUCGAUAUCGAGACCCAUCUUAUAUAUAUGCAAAGAUAAAAGUGGAAAGAUCUUCAAAUAAGUGGAGGCCAAUACUCCAAAAAUCAAAUGAAAGACAAUCUUUCAAUAAUUUGGCUGCUUGCGUGCCAAAAAAAGUAACUAUUGUUUCUAAUUGUAAGUGAAGCUAAACUAAACUCUUCUUCUUUAUCUAAUAGACAAUGUGAGAAUAUAAUUAAUCAAGCUCUCUUUCGGUUACAGUAGAUAUAUUAGUGUUUGUCGAAAGUGAAGAUAGAAAGAUAGUAAAGCAACCAAUUGGCAUAGAAUGUGUGGCCAUUGUCCCCAACAAACAUGUGGUGUAAAUUUUGGACCAUACCAUGAAGGAAAGUUGAGAUUCCACUACAAAGCCAAUUGAUUUUAGAAAAAUAGCCCAACUCCUUAUAAGUAUACAUAACUUUUCAAUGCGGGACAAUACUCUUAACAGUUUGAAUGCACCACGAUCUCUCUCCUAGUCAAAGUCCAAAGGUUCACACCACCCUUUCAGACUCCCCUCAUGAAAAAAGCAAAAUAGGGCGGUGUGUGCGACCCCAUUUUCGUUUGGGUUGGGUGGGUGCAGUAAUUUUCAGGAUCAAGUAGACCUUUUUUCUUUUUUAAUUGUACUAGAAUUUAGGUCCAGCUAAGCCCUAUCGUAAUUAUUGUUAUACAUUCGUGGCAUGAAAAUAAAGUUAAGAAUCUCUGCAAAGAAUUCUUGUUCAUUCUAAGAAAUAUCUCAUACAGUACCCGCGUGGUAACUAACCUAAACAGAAAUUAAAAAGUCAAAAUAAUAUGCCGAAUAAAAAAAAUGAAAUAAAAAUUCAGUUAAAAAAAUAAAAAUAAAAAGGUCCACCAGAUCCUGAAAAUCAAACACUGCACCCCAAAUAAAAAUGGGGUCCCACGCAUCACCGGCCUAUUUGCCCUUUUGGCGUGCGGAGAGUGUGAAAGGGUGGUGUGAAUCUUUGGACUUUGAAUAGGAGAGAGUGUCAGGGUAAGGAGUUUUUCAGGGGUAAACGAAGACUGGUUCACUGGUUGGUAUGUAAAUGGUUUACUGGUUGGUAAAUGGAGACUGGUUGGUAAAUGUAAUGAUGACAAUAUUCAAUUACAUUAACUUGGACCUUAUUUUUUGGUUGGCCAUGGAGUCAAAAGAGUUUAUGGCUUGCUUUGGGCACGUGGGUACUAUCUUAGAGCAUCUCUAAGAGAUAUGCCAAAUACCAAACAUUAAAUUUAAAUUUAAUGGUUGAUGUAGUAAUUUGACAUCUUACACAGCUUUUCAUUUCAUCUGAUAUGUCAAAUUAAAUUAUUAUUUUAUUACAUUUUAGUGUUGAUUCAUUUUUAAUUUUAAAAAAAAAAAAGAAAAGAAAAAAUAAUAAAAUAUUCAUUUAAUAUCUUGCUUUUGGAAUGUCAAAAAUAAAAUCCCAACCUCCAACCUUCAAUCCACAUCAGGUUUGACAUAUCGGUUGGAGUGAUGUGAGAUGUUAUUUCUAACUGUUGAAUGUCUAUGUGGCACGUUUGACACAUCGAUUGGAAAUGCUCUUAGGGAUCAAUGGAAUUUCUCUCCUAAUCUCCUCAAACCCAAUCAAAAUUGUUAAACGGAAACCAUCAGGUUUAAACACACAUGAACCAAAGUUAUUCAACUUACUUAUGGGGUGUAUAAACUGGUGUUGAGAGAGUAAUAGCGUGAGAGGAAGCUCAGUAUAGUCAGCCGACCUUGAGAAUUUUGCCCAUCAACAAACUUUCUAGACAACUUUAUUAGACCGUCACACACAUCACUCAUUAGACAAGAAAUUAGUGACAGAGCCAUAAAAUUUAACAGAAAAGGAACCUCAAAUAUUAAAAUAUAUUUUUCUUACGAUGACAUUUGAACUAAUUUUUUUCUUUUCUUCUUGAAAUAUAUAGACUUUGCCAAAAAGUACUGUGUGUGGAGAGGGUUAGUGAUUUUCCUUUCUUCUUUUUUUUUUUUUCCCUUUUUUCUCCCAAACCUCGAUGGUGCUAGUGCAUUUAUUAAAAAUAAAAUAAAAGAAUUGCAAAUUAACAAUCCAAAAUUAAGCAAAAUAAAGAUUAGGCAAACCAAAUCAAUAUAACCUAAUCACACAAAAAAUAAUAAAUACACCGGGCCCACCAAGUGAGAAGAAAUCAAGGAUAAAAUAGUUUGCAAAGCAAUUACCACCCCACCUAAUUACCCUAGCAGACAUUAUCAAGACUCAAGUGAGAGGUCAUGUCAAGAAUGCAAAAUAACAAUAAGGAUUUUCAGUCGUUUUAUUCUGAAGUUGAUAACAAUAUUAGUUAGUUUGUAUUCAGUUAAGCUGUCAUGUGUGUGCUUAUGUGUUGUUAGUUAGUAUUAGCUGUAAUAAGUCUUGGUUAGUGAGAUAUAUAAUACUGAUGACACUACGAUUGUAUUCAUUUCCUGUGAAAUCAAUAUAGAAAGCAUAUCAUUUUCUCUUGAAUCUUCUUCUUCUUCUUCUUAGCUUUCUUAAUUCUUAAGCUUCCUCUUCUAAAUUGUUAACAUGGUAUCAAAAGCCAUGGUUCGAUCCUGAGUUUUUUCUGCUUCCGAUGUCUAUGCCUUGACACUCUUUUCUGGAACUCCAUGAAAAUCGACGUCGAUAUCAGAUUCUUCCACUUCAUUAUUGGAUUCUCAAUUUCGUCAAACUACCUUAAGGAUUCUAUUCAACUUGCUAUUGGGGAUUUUCAGUCUCCUCUUUGAUUCGAGUGUAUUUUCAUUGUUCUUGCUCGCUUGCUACUCACUUUUGGGGGUUUUCUAUGAGAUUGCUGAUUUCAAGCCUUCAAAUUGAGGAUUUCUAAAUCCAUAUAUAUUUCGCGUAAUUCUCCAUUGAUUUACGAAUUCAAAGACCCAUCGAUUGGGAUUUGUUGAUGUUCUGGUGGCAUUCGAUGUUAUUGAUGGAUUGUUGCUCAUGUUAGCGUUUUUCGAUUGGGAUUUGUUCUACUCAAAUUGUCAAAUUGUGGUUGUUCAAAUUGCUUCGACUCACUGACUUCAAUUUCAUGUUUGUCUAUGGAGGUUGUAUUUUCUCAACUUUGAUAUGUGGUGGAUUUCAGAUUGUUAGUUGCAUUUCUACUAUUUGCGUCUUAUGGAUGUUCUUUUGGUAUUUCUGUUGUUCAUCCUCUAUCUCUUCCUAUGUUCAAAGAUUCAAGUUUUCUCUUCACCUUUGAUUGAUAGUUACUGUAGUCGCUCCCAAAUCAAACAUUGAAUUCCUUGCUAUAAACUCACCUUCCUGUUCUUGAAUACAUCACCGUGGGUCAAAUAUUAAUGGUUCAUUUGUUAUUUACUCACCGUUAAUAUAUAUAUGUAUAAAUUAAAAUUAAAAUUAAAAAAAGCUAGAACAAGAAGACCAAGAAGAAAUGGUACGCUCGAGUUGUUGUACUUGUUGCCAACAUUCCUAAUCCCAACAUCUGCGCUGUUAAUUGCAGCGAUAUUAUUAUUAUUAAUAUUGUUAGGCUUGUUGCUUUCAUCAGUAUUUUUUUCUCACGAUUUUCAUUUUGCUGGGGCUCUUGUUUAGAUCUUUCUCCUUGGGACUCUUCUCCAAAAAGCCUUCUAGGGUGACCAAGAAAGUGGUUUCUUACCCUCUCCUAUGGGCUCUAGUUCAGUUGUUCAGCUUCAGUUCGAUAUCGAGACCCAUCUUAUAUAUAUGGAAAGAGAUAAAAGUGGAAAGAUCUUCAAAUAAGUGGAGGCCAAUACUCCAAAAAUCAGAUGAAAGACAAUCUUUCAAUAAAUGGAAGUUACUAUUGUAAACUAAUCACAUAAAUUCCUUAAACCCUAUACACAUGUUGAAAUCGCAUCAAGGAAAAAUCUUGAAUCAAAUAAAAAUAUUAAUCAUAAUAGUACUUACCUGCCAUUGAUGAAAGCUCAAAAGAAAGUCUUCUACUCUCUGUAGGGUUCUUAUGUUCAACUAGCAAUACGAAGUAGUUGUUUUGAAAGUGUGUUUCUAAGAAAGCACGGUUCUCUUUAAAUCAGUUGGAAGCCAGUGGGUGGAGAACGUUCGAGAUUUCAAUUUUUUUUCCUUCAAACCUAAAGGGUGUAUCUAAUUCAUACUUUUAAUAACUUUUAUCGAGUUUAAAAGUUUAGAAGUAUUCAAUUUAAACUUUUAACGAGUUUAUAAAAGUCUAGUGGUAUUCAAUUGUGACUUCUUAAAAGUUUGACUGUAUCCAAUUAUGACUUUUAAAAAGUCUUAAAAUUUUUUUGGGGCUAUCCAAAAAGUUAAUGACUUUUAAAAAGUUGGGUUUUUAGGUCUAAUGGUCCCCGAAUUUUGACCCGAUUCGCAUUUUAGUCCCUUAAUUUCAAAAAACAUUCCCAUGGUCCUUCAACUUCAGUUUUUUUUAGGACAAAUGGUCAUGCCGUCAAUUUUGUUAACUAUUUCUGUUAAAUUGGGGGCAAAUUGAUAUUUUUGUAUUAAAACAAAAAAAAUGGUUUUUUUUAAAAAUCAAAAAUUAAAAAUAUAUAUAUAUCUCAAUCUCUCUCUCCCCUCCCUCCUUCUAUCCCAAUUUCUUCCCCCACAGCCACCCUCCACCCAGCGCCCCUCUUCGAUUUUUGUACAAAGGUCAAGGAAGAAUAGCAAACCUGGGUUGGAGAGGGGAGGGGGGAGGAGGAGGGGUUCUGGGUUCGUUGGGGGUUUAGGGUCCAGUGGUCAGGGGGGAAAAGAAAAUUGAAGGGGAAGGGGUGCUGGGUGAAGGGUGGCUGUGGGUUGCCCUCUUUGCUCUCUCUUUCUCUCAUCUGAAUCUUGAGUAUACAGGCAAGCUUCCUUGUUCCUGAUAGAAGGAGAGGGUAGAGAGAGAGAGAGAGAGAGAGAGAGAGAGAGAGAGAGAGAGAGAGAUUUAUUUUUAAUACAAAAAUACCAUUUUGCCCCUGUAUUUAACAGAAAAGAUAACAACAUUGACGACAGGACCAUUUGUCCUAACGAAACUGAAGUUCAAGAACCACAUGAACGAUUUUGAAAAUUGAAGGACCAAAAUGCUAAUCGGGUCAAAGUGUUUCAUAUACUUUUUAUGCAUAUUUACUGGUGACUUUCAUUAACUCUAUGAAAGUGUUUAAGAAUAUGUCAAUUCUAUCAAAGUUAUUCACUAAAUAAGUAUUUAUAAGAGCAUCUCCAAUAAUAGUAGCAUGUUUUUUUUUAACUUUUUAAAGUAAAAUUAAAUGUUUUGAAGAGCCAAAGUCAACAUAUCAGUCUUGAAGAGAGAGAAAGAGGUUGCAACUUUGAUGACUAAGUUUGACAAGUCUGUUGGAGAGAUUUUUUUCAAAAUCAAAUAAUGAAUAGGUAAGCUUCCUUUUUGCAAGCUUUAUCUCUUUUUGAUUAAUUAUGAGUUUGCAAUCUUAGUUGGGAUGCAUAUGCUAGAGUUUCUUCUAUCAUACGUGAUCGUUAGUGGAGGCUCACCAGAUUGUUUUAAUUUUGAUGUUAUAUCUCUCCAUUAUUGUAAUGGCCCUUUAUGACUAGUUUAUAUUGGCCCUUUGUGACUAUGACUUUUUUAAUUGAGUUAUGAAUGCAAUCCCUGAAAUUUGAAAAAAUAAUAAUAAUUAUAAAUCAUGAUGGAUAGUGUAGUCAAAAGGUACUUCGUGUGGAAAAAAUGUUUGACUUCUUUGGAUAUUCACAUGCACGUUUGAAAAUGUGAGAAAAUAAUCAAUCAAGCUCUCUCUUUUGGUUACAAUAGUAACAGUGGCGAAACCAGAAUUUUAUAUAUGUGAAGCAUCUCACAAAAUAUAAACAAUAAAAAAUUCGAACUCAAGACAUACCAAAACAUCAAAGAGAAAAGAAGAAGCAAUAACUAGAAGAACAAGAAGACCAAGAAGAAAUGGUAUGCUUGACUUCUUGUUGUACUUGUUGCCAACUUUGCUAAUCCCAACUGCUAAAAUAUGAAAACUAUAAGAGAAUAUUUGUUUGUGGGAAUUUUCUGUGUAUUCUUCUCCUUGUAGGAGGUCAUAUUUAUAAUACAACAAAACCUGAAUGGGCAAAUAAAUAAUAAAUUCCUAAAUCCAUUUACAGUAGGAAAUCAGGAAUUAAAGUAGAUCAAUUACAAUUAUAAUAGGAAUUCUUGGUGUGUAAGGAAAGUAAGUCAAUAUCCACAAGUCACGCCAACACUCCCCCUCACGUUGGUGCAUAGAUGUUGCCAAUGCCCAACUGAUCCAAUGAAUUGUGGAAUGCUUUACUGGAAAUUGCCUUUGUCAAAAUAUCCGCCAAUUGAUCCUCGGAUUUCACAAAAGGAAACUGAAACACUUUAGCCUCAAGCUUCUGUUUGAUGAAGUGUGGAUCCAUCUCAACAUGUUUAGUACGAUCAUGCUGAACCGGAUUCUGUGCAAUGGCUAUAGCAGCCUUGUUGUCACAAAAGAGAUUCAUUGUGGAUGUAGGUUUAUACCCAAGUUCAGUAAGCAACUUUCUUAACCAAAGAAGUUCACAAAUCCCUUUAGUCAUGCCUCUGAACUCAGCUUCUUCAUUGGAUAAAGCUACUACAUUCUGUUUCUUACUCCUCCAUGUCACCAAAUUACCUCCCACGAAUGAGAAGUAACCCGAUGUGGAUUUUCUAUCUGUUACAUUACCUGCCCAAUCUGCAUCUGAAUAACCAUCAAUAUUUAGAUGACCGUGCUUUGAGAACAUAAGUCCUUUUCCAGGUGCAGACUUCAAAUAUCUAAGUAUCCGAAGAACUGCAUUCAUGUGGUCUUCACUUGGAGAGUGCAUAAAUUGACUGACAACGCUCACCGCAUAAGCAAUGUUUGGUCGAGUAUGUGACAAAUAGAUCAAUCUUCCCACUAACCUUUGGUAUCUUUCUUUGUUAGUUGGAACUUGAUCCGGAUAUUCUCCAAGAUGAUGAUUCUGAACAAUAGGAGUGUUCGCAGGUUUGCAAUCUAGCAUUCCUGUGUCUGUCAACAAGUCCAAGACAUAUUUUCUUUGAGAGAGAAAUAUGCCUUGCUGCGAUCAAGCCACCUCAAUUCCCAUACUUGAGUCCACCUAGAUCCUUCAUCUCAAACUCAGUAGCCAAAUAGUCUUGUAGCUGUGAUAUUUUCUGUUUAUCAUUCCCAGUAAUAAUCAUAUCAUCAACAUAGGUUAUUAAUGCUGUUACCUUUCCUUUCCGAUGUUUGAAGAACAAAGUAUGAUCUGAGUUGCACUGUUUGAAACCAUUGUUCUUCAUUGCAUGGUGAACCGUCCAAACCAUGCACAUGGUGACUGUUUCAAUCCAUACAAUGAUUUUCGUAACCUGCAAACUGUUCCAGUCUGAGUAGUAUUAUAUCCAGGAGGAAUGUCCAUGUACACCUCCUCCGUGAGUUCGUCAUGUAGAAAAGCAUUCUUUACAUCAAACUGGUGUAGUGGCUAAUCCAAAUUAGCUGCAAGGGACAAUAAGACUCUGACGGUGUUUAACUUUGCAACUGGUGCAAAAGUUUCUUCAUAGUCUAUAUCAUAGGUCUGUAUGUACCCUUUUGGUACAAGUCUUACCUUGUAUCGCUCGAUAGAUCCAGCUGCAUUGUGUUUUAUAGUAAACAUCCAUCUACAUCCGAUAGUCUUUUUUCCUUGUGGUAUAGUCUCCAAUGUCCAAGUCUGAUUUUUCUCAAGAGCUUUCAUCUCCUCUUUUAUAGCUUGGACCCACUUAGGAUCUUUCAAUGCUUCAAAGACCUUGGUUGGAAUAUGGAUAGCAGACAACUGAUGCACAAAAGCCUUGAGUGGUUCAGACAGCUUCUCAGUGGAUACAUGAUUUGCAAUUGGAUACUUGGAUGUCUUGCCAAUAUCAAGUGAAUAACGGUUUGGUGGCUUUCCACGAUUUUGCCUGAAAGGUAAUUGAUAUCCAAUAGUUUUAUCCUCUAAAUGCACAAGUCUAGUAGGAGUAUUUACCUCAAAGAUAUUUUCAGGAGAUUGGUCCGUUGGUACUGUUGAAUGAGAGGGGGGUCUUCAUCUUGUUGUUCUGAGUUGUCUGUAGGAGUAUGACUCGAAUCAAAAACAGCUUCGCAAGGGUUAGGCGAUCGAUCGUUGUUUGGCAGAGAGCAUUCGCACAUGCUAGACUCGGGACGAUCUAUUGUUAUUGUUUCUUGGCCGAGAGCAAUCUUCGUGCAUAGAUGAAUAUCCUCAUUUUCCAAGCUGGUCCAAUUGAGCUCUUCACUCGGUUUCUCCCCCUAAAGAGUAUAAUUGGAUGCUGGGUCAUAGAAGAACAUAUCUGAUUCCAGAAAGGUGACAUCCAAAGUGACAUAGGUUCACCGGGUAGGAGGGUGAUAACAUUAGUAACUUUUCUGAUGAGUGGCAUAACCCAAAAAAACACAACGAAGCGCACAUGGAUCAAGUUUGCUUCGUUGAUUUUUGUGGAGAUGAACGAAGGCCACACAGCCAAAAAUGCGAGGGGUAAGCACCAAAACAGAGGGCAGAGGCCCGUGUUGUGCGAGCACUUGUAAUGGAGUUUUGAAGUUCAAGACCCCAGAUGGCAUACGGUUGAUAAGGUGGACAGUAGUGACGACAGCAUCAUCCCAGUGAUGAUGAGGAACAUGGCCACCAAUGAGAAGAGCACGGGCUGUUUCAAGGAGAUGACGAUUCUUCUGUUCGGCAACACCAUUUUGUUGUGGUGUCUGGGGGCAAGUUGUCUCAUGAAUAAUGCCAUGUGUCUGGAAGUAAGUCUGAAAAUCAUGAUUAACAAAUUCUCCGCCGUUGUCAGAGCGAAGAAUCUGUAUUCGAGCAUUGAACUGUGUUUCCAUCUAUUUGUGAAAGGAUUGGAACAGGGAAAACACUUCAUUCUUAUUUUUCAUCAAAUAAAGCCAUGUCCCGUGUACAAUCAUCUACGAAUGUGACAAACCAACGAAUACCGGAAUGAGUAGAAAUAGGUGAGGGUCCCCAAACAUGAGAAUGAAUUAAAGCAAAAGGAAUAGUACUUUUAUUCAUACUUAAAGGAUAGGAUGCUCUAUGACUCUUGGCUAGAAUGCAAGUGUCACAUUUAAAAUCUGAGUCCUUAAAUACAGAAAACAACUCUGGCAAUAAGUGUCUCAUAUAACUAAAAGAGGGAUGCCCCAAACAUCGGUGCCAGAGCCAAAUUUGUCGGUGCUUGUCAUUAGAUGGAUGCUUCACACUAUUGGCAUGUCCCAUACUGAAGUCAUCCACAUAGUACAACCCUCUUCUUUUAGUACUACGCCCAAUGAUCUCCUUGGCGAGAAUAUCCUGUAGUAAACGAAAAUUGGGAUAAAUUAGUACACAACAAUUUAGUUGUUCAGUUGCCUGACUCACAGACAUUAAUUUAUUGGACAAAGAUGGAACGAGUAAAGUUUUAGAAAAGGACAGAGAAGGUGAAAGGGCAACAGGAUAGGUAACUCCAUUUGCAUUGGCAAUACUUGUGCGGCGGGGUGUAGUGGUGUGCAAAAAAUCAUUCGGAUCAAAGGUCAUAUGAUCAGUGGCGCCAGAAUCAAUUAUCCAACCAGUAGUAUCUCGUAGAUCAGAAGUAUGAAAUGCAUAACCAAAGUUACCUGAGACAUCCAGAAGCACGAGACUAUCAGUAGGAUCUACCUGCGGGAACAAGGCUAAUGGGGGUUCGGUAGAGACAAGAGUAGCACGGCCGGAAUUACUAGCAGUUUAUCUGAGCUUGCGAGCGCGGAGGUCCUCCCACAAAUCUGGAUAACCAUUCAGCUUAAAACAGGUGUCACGGGUAUGUUUGGGUUGCCACAGUGCGUGCAACCACUUCCAUCAGUCGGAGCCUUGGGACGGGAAGGUGGGAUGGUUUUAGGAAGUGUUACACCAGCAGUAGUAGCAUAUGAUUGAAUCUGAAGGUGGGCUGCAAUAGAGGAAUUAUGGGGCUGUCCGGCACGAGUAGGGGGACCUGAUCGAGGCGCACUCUUGGCCGCUAAGCCAGCGCCAGUGGGUGCAGAUGCACCCAUCAUCACUGCUUGUCGAACAUCUUCACGGUGAACAUAAGCAUAAGCUUGGUCCACAGUAGGGAAUGGAGUCAUGUGAAGAACAUCACUUUGGGCCUUAUCAAGACGAUUAUUAAGGCCAUCCAAAAAUAUGUAAACUCGAUCUUCCUGCAGAAUAUCAUUAUAGCGCUUGAUAUCACUUUCAUACUCCAUUAUAUUUGGACGACGGAAAUCAAUUUCUCUCCAUAAGCUUUGGAGAGUAUUGUAAUAGGUUUCAAUGGAGCCACCAACUUGUCGCAUACGAGAGACUUGUCGUUUCAGAUCAUAAACCUGAGAGGUGUCAGUGCCAUCAUAGUAAGUUGUGGCAAUUGCAUCCCACACUGCUUUUGCCGUCGAAAAAUGAAUGAAAUUGCCAAUCAAGCUCUGCUCCAGAGAAUUGAUGAGCCAUCUCUUCACAAUAGAGUUCUCGAUGCGCCAGCGAGGAAACGUUGGAGCGGUCGAAUGAGGUUGUGGAAGAUCGCCAUUAAUAUAUCCCAAUUUAUCUUUGCCGGAGAUAUACAACUCUACAACUUGGGACCAUAGGGCAUAGUUGGUGCCAUCCAACUUUAUGCCAAUCUGUGUAGCGGAAGCUUCAUAGGUAAUUGUCGUCAGAAUCGUUGUCUGAUUUGAGUUCAAGGUCGUCGUCUGAUUCGAGUUCGGGGUCGUCGUCUGAGUCGAGGUCGGGGUUGUCUUGGUAGGAUCCUGAUUUAGGAUCAAUUUUGAGGUCUGAGUCUGCAUCUGCAUUAGUUGAGCCACCUGGGCACUCAACUCGGCUAUGGUUGGUUGAGAAGGAGAAGAGGAAGCAGUGGUGCUACCGCCAUGAGGAUUAGAAGAGUCAUCCUCCCCCAUGGUGGCGGCUAGGGUUUAGAAACUAGAGUCAGCCAUCCCAAGAUCGCCGCUCUGAUACCAUGCUAAAAUAUGAAAAUUAUGAGAGAAUAUUUGUUUGUGGGAAUUUUCUGUGUAUUCUUCUCCUUAUAGGAGGUUAUAUUUAUAAUACAACAAAACCUGAAUGGGCAAGUAAAUAAUAAAUUCCUAAAUCCAUUUACAGUAGAAAAUCAGGAAUUAAAGUAAAUCAAUUACAAUUAUAAUAGGAAUUCUUGGUGUGUAAGGAAAGUAAGUCAAUAUUCACAAGUCACACCAACACCAACACGCUCGCCUUUGUUUGCAUAAAAUGUAUUGCCACAAAUGUUGUGGUUUCGACCCCUCCUUGGUUGAUGAACAUCAACACCACCUCCACCUUUUUCGUUGUAAGCAUCGUGAAUCCCAAUAUCCGUGCUUUCAAUUGCGAAGAAAUCAUUCUCAUUAAUGUUGAAGGUCUCGUUGCCUUCAUCAGUAUUUUCUGCCUCAUUAUUUUUGUUACCAUGCCGGUAUUGUAUAUGUAUGAAAUAUUUCUUAGAAUGAACAAGAAUUCUUUGUAGAGAUUUGUAACUUUCUUGUUUUGUUUAUGGUACUGGAAAUGACUUUCUGUUUUUAGGUAUAUCUCUCAAUCUCUCUCUCCCCUCCCUCCCUCUAUCCUGAUUUCUUCCCCCACAGCCACCCUCCACCCAGCGUCCCUCUUCGAUUUUUGUACAAAGGUCAAGGAAGAAUAGCAAACCUGGGUUGGAGGGGGGUGGGGGGAGGAGGAGGGGUUCUGGGUUCGUUGGGGGUUUGGAGUCCAGUGGUCAUGGGGGAAAAGAAAAUUGAAGGAGAAGGGGUGCUGGGUGAAGGGUGGCUGUGGGUUGCCCUCUUUGCUCUCUCUUCCUCUCAUCUGAAUCUUGAGUAUACAGGUAAGCUUCCUUGUUCCUGAUAGAGGGAGAGGGUAGAAAGAGAGAGAGAGAGAGAGAGAGAGAGAGAGAGAGAGAGAGAGAGAGAGAGAUUUAUUUUUAAUACAAAAAUACCAUUUUUCCCCUGUAUUUAACAGAAAAGAUAACAACAUUGACAACAGGACCAUUUGUCCUUGUCCUAACGAAAUUGAAGUUCAAGAACCACAUGAACGAUUUUGGAAAUUGAGGGACCAAAAUGCUAAUCGGGUCAAAGUGUUUCAUAUACUUUUUAUGCAUAUUUGCUGGUGACUUUCAUCAACUCUAUGAAAGUGUUUAAGAAUAUGUCAAUUCUAUCAAAGUUAUUCACUAAAUAAGUAUUUAUAAGAGCAUCUCCAAUAAUAGUAGCAUGUUUUUUUUUAACUUUUUAAAGUAAAAUUAAAUGUUUUGAAGAGCUAAAGUCAACAUAUCAUUCUUGAAGAGAGAGAAAGAGGUUGCAACUUUGAUGACUAAGUUUGACAAGUCUGUUGGAGAGAUUUUUUCAAAAUCAAAUAAUGAACAGGUAAGCUUCCUUUUUUCAAGCUUUAUCUCUUUUUGAUUAAUUAUGAGUUUGCAAUCUUAGUUGGGAUGUCUAUGCUAGAGUUUCUUCGAUCAUGCGUGAUUGUUAGUGGAGGCUCACCAGAUUAUUUUAAUUUUGAUGUUAUAUCUCUCUAUUAUUGUAAUAGCCCUUUAUGACUAGUUUGUAUUGGCCCUUUGUGACUAUGGCCUUUUUAAUUGAAUUAUGAAUGCAAUCCCAGAAAUUUGAAAUAAUAAUAAUAAUUAUAAAUCAUGAUGGAUAGUGUAGUCAAAAGGUACUUCGUGUGGAAAAAAUGUUUGACUUCUUUGGAUUCACAUGCACGUUUGAAAAUGUGGGAAAAUAAUCAAUCAAGCUCUCUCUUUCGGUUACAGUAGUAACAAUGGCGAAGCUAGAAUUUUAUGUAUGUGGAGCAUCUCACAAAAUAUAAACAAUAAAAAAUUCGAACCCAAGACAUACCAAAACAUCAAAGAGAAAAGAAGAAGCAAUAACUAGAAGAACAAGAAGACCAAGAAGAAAUGGUAUGCUUGACUUCUUGUUGUACUUGUUGCCAACUUUGCUAAUCCCAACACGCUCGCCUUUGUUUGCAUAAAAUGUAUUGCCACAAAUGUUGUGGUUUCGACCCCUCCUUGGUUGAUGAACAUCAACACCACCUCCACCUUCUUUGUUGUAAGCAUCGUGAAUCCUAAUAUUCGUACUUUUAAUUGCGAAGAAAUCAUUCUCAUUAAUGUUGAAGGUCUCGUUGCUUUCAUCAAUAUUUUCUGCCUCAUUAUUUUUGCUUUGCUGCUCCUUCUCUUUGGGGCUCUUGUCCAGAAAGCGUUCUAGGGCGACCAGAAAAGAUGUUUCUUAUCCUCUCUUGGAGGCUCUGAUUCAGUUGUUCAGCUUCAGAUUGAGAUCGAGACCCAUCUUAUGUAUGUGCAAAGAUAAAAAAGGAAAGAUCUUCAAAUAAGUGGAGGCAAAUACUCCAAAAUCAAUUGGAAGACAAUCUUUCAAUAACUGGAAGUUUCUAUUGUAAACUAAUUACAUAAAUUCCUUAAACCUUAUACACACAUAGAAUCACAUCAAGGAAAAGAUCUUGAAUCAAAUAAAAUUUCCUACUCUCUCCGAUUUUAUCCCCGUAAUAUAUUAUUCCCAACGAUGUUGAAGUCAUUGCCUCUUCCGCCCUUGUCUUUUUCUUUUGGGGUUGGAGAGUUUUGGUGCUCAAGGAAAAGAGAAGUUCACAUUAAUUAUAUAAUAAAUUAUAAUUAGUGCUUGUAAUUAUCAAUUAUCAAGCUAAUUGAUUACGUUGAGAUUAUAAUUAUCUUGCAAUUAUCAAAAGAGGACGACCCUCUUGUCCUAAUCAAAGAGGGACCGGACAGACUUUUUAAAGUGGCCAUGCUUGUGGAAAAAUUAUACAAUACAUUGUACAUGUUGUAAAGAAGAAUAAGUAAAGAAGAAUAGGUGAAGCCCACAUAGCCAACUAACACCCACCAACCUAACCACACACCCACCAAACCAAACCACUACCCAAUUGAUUGAAGAAUAUUAAUGAUGUUGUUGAUUGAAGAAUAUUAAUGAUGUUGUUGAUUGAAGAAUAUUAAUGAUGUUGUCUACCAAUUAUAUUGUGAGGUGAACAACCAAUGUCUUAGGCCUAUAAAUAGAUACCUCUAUCAAGAGAAGUUUACACAUAUAGAAGAGGAAGAGAAGGAAGAAUGAGGGUGAGUGAGUUGAGAGGAAAGAGAGCAAGAGAGAAAUUCUCCAAGAGAGAAAAUUGAGUGAGCCAUACAUAUUGUAAACACAAAGUUGUAGCCCUAUUAUUUUACAUAGUGGAAAAGUUACUGCUGCUGCUUUCCGGGGAUGUAGGCAUAGCCGAACCUCGUUAAAUACUGUGUCUCAUCUACUUUACGUACAGCUCAAUAUUCGCACAUAUACCAGUUCAUUUUAUAACACGUUAUCAGCACGAGAAGCUCUCAGGUAUAAUUUUUGUGUUGCACUAUUAUCUAUACUACUAACCCUUAUGUUGAUGUAAGGAAGAAAAGUAGUGGAGGAGCUGUGGUCUGCAAGAGAGAUAUACGAGCAAACCAACUGUGUGCAGAUUACAGGUGGAAAGCAUUUGAUUUAAGAGACAAGCAUGAUGCCUUCCACAAACGAUAAUAAUAUUAUCUGCUAUACUAUUUGAUCGUGGUGUUGAUGAGAACCCACCAAUAAUUGCCUUUACUUUACCGUAAAUUUACUUUUACUUAAAGUAAUAUAAUAUAUUAUAUUUACUGUAUGGUGUAGGUUUAUUACUCAUACAACAGUAUUUAUUUAAAAGGGUGGUGCGGGUUUAUCGUACACGCCUUUACUUCUAUUUAAAUGUAUGGGGCAGAAUUAGUGCCCGUAUAAGCACCAUUUACUUUACCGCACAUUUAAUUUUAUUUAAAGUAUGGUGCGGGAUUAACGUCCAUACAGCAAGCAAUUUAAUUUAUGAAUUUAAUUUACCUCAUAUUUACAUUUAUUUAAAAGGGUGGUGCGGGUUUAUCGUCCACGCCUUUACUUUUAUUUAAAUGUAUGGAGCAGAAUUAAUGCCCAUACAAGUACCUUAACUUUAUGAAUUUAAUUUACCGCACAUUUACAUUUAUUUAAAGUGUGGUGCGGGUUUUAUCGUCCAUACCAAUAAUUUAUUUACCAGCAAUUUAUUUUAUGGAUUAAAUGUGCUGUAUGAUGAGUUUUUACAGUAUGCAGAUCAGGACCAGAAGUUCCUUGAUCCUCAUCAUACAAUUACAUCAGGACUUGAAGAUCCUUGAUGAUGAUGUUAAUAUAAGAGCUGGCAGUCUCUCCGGUACUAUAUUUGUAAACAUGUGAUUGGACUUGAGGGUCCUUGAUCCCUGACAUGUAAAUUAGGACCUGGGGUUCCUUAAUGAUGUAACAGUACCGUAUUGGUUCAUAAUGCCGUACACAUGGAUGAUAACUGUACCGGCAAAUAUACUGUACACAUGAAUAGAUACGUAUUCAUGGCUUGAUGAAUAGUACCGGAUAUAUGAAUAGUGACGUAUACAUAAAUAUUAAUCAUUUUGGGUUAACCAUCACUAUUCAAAAAGGGAACCUGCAGUUCCUUAAACUCAUGGAUGAGCAAUUAAAUGAGAUGCCAGAAGUUCCUCAAGAUAUGGACAAUUAUGUAAGGGCUUGAAGUCUAGAAAUAUGUACAGAAAAUUGUAAAAAUGUCCAUACCAUGAGAACAUGUGAUUUUGGCUUGAGGUUCAAAAUCUAACAGUGUUGAGAACCUGAAGUUCCAACAAUUAAAUGGACAACCCUUGAGGUAUUAUUGCAAAUUGUGGUACGCCACAUAUUUCUUUGGCAUAAGAGAAUGAUGAAUUGAGGCUCCCCUCACAUUUUGUUAUAUCUGGGCCGGAAGCUCAUGAACCCAAAUAUAUGAGAUAUUAGCAUGGCUUUUACUCCAUUCAUAUUUCAUGUCCAUUUGAAAAGGGCGAAUAAAUUCUGAGUUUGUGUUUAGCCCAGGCCAAAAGUUUCAUACAUUGAAAUAUGAAAUUUGGGAGAGUCGAUGUGGUUAUUUGAACCUAUAAGGCACAAGGUUCCAAACCGUCAUUUUAAAAAGACGUAAAAAAAAAAAAAAACCACAAGUGCAAGUUUAAGAAUGUGCGCAAUUAUUAUAAUAUGAAAGGAACAUACAACAGAUAGAUUUUUCCACCUGCAAUGAAGGUGCAGGCCCUGUAAAAUCUAUAAAAAUACAUUAUGUUCUGGAAGCCUCUGAAGGAAGAGGACGACGCCUCUUAAGCUUAGCCAUGAGCCUCUCGUGGUCUCCCAAAAUUCUUUCAUUGGAGACCUGCAGCAUGUCUAGCCUUCUCAGUGUAUCAACAGAGUACGAACUCACCAGUUUCAACAAGGCAUUAUUCUCUCCUUUAAGUUUCUCAACCUCCUGUUGAGACUCAUGAAGCAUUCUUUGGAGAGACGAAUUUUCAGUUGUUAACCUCUCAACCUCGUUUGCUCUGGCACGCAAACGAUCAGCCAUGUUAGAAAUAGAAGCAGCACUCUGAAUGCUAAAAGCCAUUGAGUCAUCAAUAGCCUCUUCCUCACACCUCCCUGUUAACAGCAUUUCAUCCAUUGGAGUAAUGAAAUUCCUAGCUACUAUGACAGCAGUAGCAUCAUUCAUCAUCACAGAAUCAUUAACUGUGAGAUGACGAUUUUGGGAUACAAAGGAUGGACGCCAAACUUGGGCGUCACUGGUUGUUGUGGGAGUAUCAUUUAAAUUGAGAUAAUUUGGGCAGGAAGAAGAGGAAGCCAUUUUUAAGAAGGUUUCGAAGAAAGUCUUAGGAAAACUAAAGUUUCAGAAAAUGAAGGAAGUUGAGUUGAAACGCAGUUGCUCCAAUCAAGUUUUGCAAAGGCAAUAUCUAUAGGAGGAAAUAUGACUACAGUUUCCAGGAUCCCAAUAUUAUCUCAGAUCCCCAUAUUAUCUUUUUCUUUCCCAGAUUCUAAAACUUCACGUGGCCUCCAUUAAUGUUUGUCGGCACUUUCGGCGUUUUCAAAGUAUUAUUUUCGUCAAAAGCCGAUCUUGCUUUACGGAUUUCAUGGAGCUACUUUUUCAAAAGUAUCCCGAGAAUCUCGCAAUUUUCCUAUGGUUAAUUUGAAAUUCACCGGUUCUACCUAUUCCUCUUAUUUGUGUAUAAAUGUGUUACUAACGAAAUUUUCUUUGCAGAAGACAUCCAGUUUUCUCCAUACCUAGUGAUGCGAUAUCUACUUAUUUUUCUUAUCAGUGAGCACUUAAUAUGCCCGAGAAGCAAGACUAUCUCUGAUCAUCCAUUCAGGAAGCGAGACUAUCCCUGAUCACGUUUCCGCCACAUCAGGGAACUGUGAAGGCGACCUUAUGCUCUAAUCUCCGGAAGUUCUUCUAGACUAGGAGAAAUGAGAGCUGGUUGUUUGCUCCCACCAGCUUCCUUCCUUGAUUGCUGAGCUUGUUGUCUGCUCCCACCAGCUUUCUUCCUUGAUUGCUUACCUUCUCUUGCAAUCAAUAUCACAUUAUUUUUGCAUUUUUUCUCUUUUUGUAACUCUCUGAGGAUUAUUUAUUUUUGACAGAGAAAAGAGUUGUGAUUUUGCUCUUGCAGGAUAUAACUAGAUCAUCAAGCGCUACAUUUACUGGGCCGAUACAAGCUUGAAUGAUACUUGAGAAAAGUUUCUCCCACCUAAGGACGUAAGCAAUACUUGUGUUAUUUUAUGCUUAUAUACUUAUUUGAUAUUUUUUCCGUUCCAAAAGAAUGGCUUGUAUGUAUCCACGAAUUAUUAAUGCAAAUUUUACAGAUUGCAAGUUGGAUACAUUGAUAAUACACUGCACAGAUUAAAGUCCCAUAAGAACAGAAUAUGGGUAUAGCAGUGAUCAAUAUGAUGCACGCUUGUUGCGUAGCAAAUGAUGUGGAUUGAAGUCCCGAAAGGACAAUCCUUUGACAUGUCAAUAUUGAUAUUAUGCACGCCUAAUGCGUAGCAAAUUAUAUGGGUUAAAGUCCCAUAAUAUGGGUUAAGGUCCCAGAAAUUAAUUGACAUGUAUGUAUUAAUCUGUGACAUGCCUUCAGCAUGACAGAUAUAUGGGUUCUAAAUGUUCCAACUCCCUAAAUGGAGAUUAUCCACGCCCUACUGCUAAAUAACGCUCCAAUGGAGGUUAUAGUCCACAUUCUCACAUAAUAAAAGCCCCAUGAAGUGGCUUGGGUACCCAAAGGCAAAUAAAUUCUUAUAAUUGAUGCAUGCGCAUGCAAAUGAGAAUGGUGGGAUCAUGAAUUGAUGAAUGACAAUUUUUGAUCAUGAAUUGAUGAAUGACAAUUUUUGGUUUUGGAGUAGCUACUCAAAUCAUCAAUGGGCUGUGUUGAUUGGAACCACGUUCAAUUAUUAAAUGUCGACAAUAUUAUUGGCCAAAAUGGAAUGAGGUAAUUCCAUUAUAGAUGAGAAUGAACGUGAAAGAACAAACCCACAGUACGAACCCCAAAAGAUGUUAAUACUGAAAUUUAUACUUGGGUGUUCGGAAUAAAAGGGAAUAUACCUACUUUGUAUGACACACUGUUUCUGGCAGAAACAAGGAAUGUUGGGUUUUCUCCAUAUUUACAGAUUCAAUUGUGCCCCCUCUUAUUACACAAUUACGGAGACCAACAUAUUAUCUUUAAGGGUUAUUAAAUGCACGGAGCAUAUCGCCAGAAGCGAUUUCUUAAAGAUAUAUAAAUAGCUGGGUAAAAGCUAUAUAAUGUGUCAUAAAGUUUAAACCCUUUUUAGACAAAAUCCGUUGAGAGGAUUGACAUUGCAUAAAGCAAGUCCCUAAAGGACAUGUGCUUGAAGCACAAAAUUUGUACUCAAUAUUAAUAUGCAUAAAUUACCUCAGUGAGUACAUUGAUUAUAAUAUGAUUGCAACACAUUAAAGCUUCUGCAGAGUUCAAGAAAUAUUUGUCUCGACUUAAGGAUCGAGCAUUAUGCCAACGAGAUUCUUGCUUAUACUAAGAAAGUAUUGAAGCAUUUUUAUGAGGAUUAUCCGUUGGACACUUUAAUGAUUUUCCGGAAGUAUAUUGGACCGGACAUCAUAUUUUCCAGAUAGGGCUCAACUCCAUCACCAUCAUUUUGGGAUGAUGUGAGGUAUAUUUGAUGCUAUCUCCGCAUAACACCAUGUACGGGCAUAUUAUUUUAAGUGAACUUACAAAUAGCCCAAGUUUUGUUAGAAACGCGGACUCUGAAAAUUUCUAUGAUUUACAUAGAGAUAGCUCACUGGAAAUAUAUUUACUUACUCAACUACGAGAAUUAUUAAUGGCUAUAUCAUCCACUCACUCCGAAAGAUUCUCACUCCAAAAGAUAGUCAUGAAGACAUCAGGGGGAGAUAUUAAUCAGGGGGAGCAUCCAGAAGUAUGCUAUACAGAUUGCUGUACUCUUUUUUUCUUCCUUCCAUCAGUUUUCUACCUCACUGGGUUUUUCUCCAAGCAAGGUUUUAAUGAGGCAACCAAUCUAGGGACAUGUGGUCUUCAAGGGGGAGUGUUGUAAAGAAGAAUAAGUAAAGAAGAAUAGGUGAAGCCCACAUAGCCAACUAACACCCACCAAACCUAACCACACACCCACCAAACCAAACCACUACCCAAUUGAUUGAAGAAUAUUAAUGAUGUUGUUGAUUGAAGAAUAUUAAUGAUGUUGUCUACCAAUUAUAUUGUGAGGUGAACAACCAAUGUCUUAGGCCUAUAAAUAGAUACCUCUAUCAAGAGAAGUUUACACAUAUAGAAGAGGAAGAGAAGGAAGAAUGAGGGUGAGUGAGUUAAGAGGAAAGAGAGCAAGAGAGAAAUUCUCCAAGAGAGAAAAUUGAGUGAGCCAUACAUAUUGUAAACACAAAGUUGUAGCCCUAUUAUUUUACAUAGUGGAAAAGUUACUGCUGCUGCUCUCCGGGGAUGUAGGCAUAGCCGAACCUCGUUAAAUACUGUGUCUCAUCUACUUUACGUGCAGCUCAAUAUUCGCACAUAUACCAGUUCAUUUUAUAACAGUACAUCAAAUUUGAAAAGCAGCAAUUUGAAUAAUCACCAGUGUUGACCAGGGCCGUCCCUUGGCCAGGGCAACUAGGUCAUCGCCCGGGGCCCACAAUUGAGAGGGGCAUAAAUAUGACGUUUUAAUAUGGUUUAGGUCAAUUACCACGCGGGUAUUGUAUUUGUAUGAGAUAUUUCUAAGAGUGAACAAGAAUUCUUUGUAGAGAUUUGUAACUUUCUUGUUUUGUUUAUGGUACUGGAAAUGACUUUCUGUUUUUAGGUAUUUUAGCUGCACUGCAUUCAUAUGGAAAUAUAUAUAUGAUUUAUCUACAUUUCAAGAUAUCAAUCAUUAAUGUAACCAAAAAUCAUCUGAUGACUACAAUUUGUGGCUUAUCCACUUUCCUUCAUUGGGGUUUCUAUUCAAGCAAUGCUGGUAGUAAGGUCACAUGCCAACAAGUUCAUGAACAAAAUUAGAACAGGUCAUUUGCCUUGGAAAGCAAGACUCCAACACACAACUUCCGUCUCCGAUUGUCUUAGACGAAUUAAUGAUAUGGUUGAAUUUUCUCUCUUUUUGGUUUUGCUUACGCUCACUCCUGAUAUACUUUAGUGGCUAUGAAAGAAAAAAGCUAGAACAAGAAGAAAUAAUACUUAUGGCAUGUACACAAGAAGAAAAAAGAAAUAAUACUUACUCAGCAUAUAUCAAUAUACUUAUGGCAUGUAGAAGAAUACUUACUCAGCAUAUAUCAAUAUACUUAUGGCAUGUAGAAGAUGAAGAAAUACAUAAAUAUAUAUAAGAGAAAUAAGAUUCAAAUUCAGAGAAAGGAACGCAAAGAAAAGUUUGAGUAUAGGAGCUCUAGUGGCCAUACAUCUCCAAACCCUUCCGCUACAUAAUAGUACGGGAAACUCCAACCGAAUCUUUCUUUCUCAAUUAUUGAUUUUUCUCUUCUUUUUCUUCUUGGUCGUGCCUUCUUUUCAGUCAAGCCGCUUGCUUCAUUUUUUUGCUUUGCUUACUCACCGUAAAAUAAAACAUAAAGCUAGAACAACAAAAACAACAAGAACAAGAAGACCAAGAAAAAAUGGUACGGUCGAGUUGUUGUACUCGUUGCCAACCGUAAUCCCAACACCUGCGCUUUUAAUUGCGGAGAUAUUAUUAUUACUAAUAUUGUUGGUCUUGUUGCUUCCAUCAGUAUUUUUUACCUCGCAAUUUUCAUUUUGCUGGGGCUCUUGUUCAGUUAUUUCUCUUUGGGGAUCUUGUUCAGAAAGCGUUCUAGGGUGACCAGGAAAGCGGUUUCUUACCCUCCCUUCGGGGUUUUGGUUCAGUUGUUCAGCUUUAGAUUGAGAUCGAGACCCAUCUUACAUAUAUGCAAAGAUCAAAAUGGAAAGAUAUUCAAAUAAGUGGAGGCAAAUACUCCAAUUAGAUGGAAGACAAUCUUUCAAUAAAUGGAAGCUACUAUUGUAAACUAAUUACAUAAAUUCCUUAAACCCUAUACACACGUAGAAAUCGCAUCAAGGAAAGAUCUUGAAUCAAAUAAAAAUAUUAAUCAUAAUAGUACAUGUUGGCGAGUCCUUACUUAGUUAGAAUUUUGGUUCCUUAUUUCAUUAGAAUUUUGGUUACUUACCAAUUAUAUUUUGUCCUAUUGUAAUAGAGAUUAUUUUAUUUAGUGUUAUGGGGGUUGAUGAUUUUUUCAACCUUCAUGGAGGUAGCACCACCGACUCAUUCUCUCAUUCUCCACCAACCAUCGUUGAGUUGAGUGCCCAGAUGGCUCCGCUCCUACAGAUGCAGACUUUGACCCCGAACCCGAUCCAAAAUCAGGAUCCUCUUUUGACGACCCCGACCCCGACCCCGACUAUGAUGACGACCACCCAGACCCCGACCCCGACUAUGACGACGACGACCCCGACCCCGACCCCGAAGACGACCCCGACCCCGACCCCGACUCCGAAGACGACCCCGACCCCCACUCCGAUGAUGACCCCAACCCCGAAUUUGUCUCUGAUUCAGACCCUGAUCCCGAUUUCAACUCUGACUCCGGCCUCGACUCAGGCUCAUAUUCCGAUCCCAAUUCCUACUCAACUGUAUCCUAUGCAUCUUCCGUUGCACAGAUUAUGACUUCUCGACUAACGACCCCGACACAUGGACCAGAUUGCGCAUUUUGUGAAAUCCGAGGAUCAAUUGGCGGAUAUUUUGACAAAUGCGAUUUCCAGUAAAGCAUUCCACAAUUCACUAGAUCAGUUGAGCAUUGGCGACAUCUAUGCACCAACUGAGGGGGAGUGUUGGCGUGACUUGUGGAUAUUGACUUACUUUCCUUACACACCAAGAAUUCCUAUUAUAAUUGUAAUUGAUUUACUUUAAUUUCUGAUUUCCUACUGCAAAUAGAUUUAGGAAUUUAUUAUUUACUUGCCUAUUUAGGUUUUGUUGUAUUAUAAAUAUGACCUCCUACAAGGAGAAGAAUACACAGAAAAUUCCCACAAACAAAUAUUCUCUCAUAGUUUUAAUAUUUUAGCAUGGUAUCAGAGCCUGGUUCGAUCUAGGGACCUGUGCUUGUGUUCUUCUUGAAGUUUAAGUGCUCUUCUCCCCCCUUGAGUUGGGGGGGGGGGGGGGGGGUGGGGAUAUGUUUAUUGACCUAUCCCAAUUACCUUGACAUAUUUCCAUGAAGAUGUUGCUUAUUUCUUUGACUCCGACGACCCCUUCUCUUCAAGGGGAGAGGAAGAUUGAAGAGAAGUUGUGUCUGAGUGAAUUAGCUAAAGUUUAUAUGGAAGAAUUUAUUGUUGCCAUUGUCUCUACUGCCGUGCUCAUGGGGUUUCGGUGUUCUGCCUUACCUAUUGCCGUGCUCACAGGGUUUCUGUGUUCUGCCUUACCAAUUGCUGUGCUCACACAGUUUCUGUGUUCUGCCUUACCUACUGCCGUGCUCACAGGGUUUCUGUGUUCUGCCUUAUCUACAGCCGUGCUCACAGGAUUUCUGUGUUUUGCUAUGUGCCCUAUUUUUUAGGGUUUGCUCUUGUGUUUCCGCUGUGAACUUUGUUUUAAUUUGUCACUUGUUUCACUCGUGGUUGACUAAAAGAUCUUCUCUACAAUUGUUACUUCUCAAGUAUGGUGUUCUGUGACUCACUUGUCAAGUUGAGCGUGCGAAAUAUCUUUGCCCAACUUGAGGGGGAGUGUUGGCGAGUCCUUACUUAGUUAGAAUUUUGGUUCCUUAUUUCAUUAGAAUUUUGGUUACUUACCAAUUAUAUUUUGUCCUAUUGUAAUAGAGAUUAUUUUAUUUAGUGUUAUGGGGGUUGAUGAUUUUUUCAACCUUCAUGGAGGUAGCACCACCGACUCAUUCUCUCAUUCUCCACCAACCAUCGUUGAGUUGAGUGCCCAGAUGGCUCCGCUCCUACAGAUGCAGACUUUGACCCCGAACCCGAUCCAAAAUCAGGAUCCUCUUUUGACGACCCCGACCCCGACCCCGACUAUGAUGACGACCACCCAGACCCCGACCCCGACUAUGACGACGACGACCCCGACCCCGACCCCGAAGACGACCUCGACCCCGACCCCGACUCCGAAGACGACCCCGACCCCCACUCCGAUGAUGACCCCAACCCCGAAUUUGUCUCUGAUUCAGACCCUGAUCCCGAUUUCAACUCUGACUCCGGCCUCGACUCAGGCUCAUAUUCCGAUCCCAAUUCCUACUCAACUGUAUCCUAUGCAUCUUCCGUUGCACAGAUUAUGACUUCUCGACUAACGACCCCGACACAUGACUUCUCGACUAACGACCCCGACACAUGGACCAGAUUGCGCAUUUUGUGAAAUCCGAGGAUCAAUUGGCGGAUAUUUUGACAAAUGCGAUUUCCAGUAAAGCAUUCCACAAUUCACUAGAUCAGUUGGGCAUUGGCGACAUCUAUGCACCAACUGAGGGGGAGUGUUGGCGUGACUUGUGGAUAUUGACUUACUUUCCUUACACACCAAGAAUUCCUAUUAUAAUUGUAAUUGAUUUACUUUAAUUUCUGAUUUCCUACUGCAAAUAGAUUUAGGAAUUUAUUAUUUACUUGCCUAUUUAGGUUUUGUUGUAUUAUAAAUAUGACCUCCUACAAGGAGAAGAAUACACAGAAAAUUCCCACAAACAAAUAUUCUCUCAUAGUUUUAAUAUUUUAGCAGUACAUACCUGCCAUUGAUGAAAGCUCAAAAGAAAGUCUUCUACUCUCUGUAGAGUUCUUAUGUUCAAAUAGCAAGAGGGACUAGAUGUUUUGAACGUGUUUGUUUCUAAGAGAGCAUGGGCAUGGACCACCUCUUGAAAAUGGAAUAAGUUACUAUUAUAUACAUGGAUUUAUUUAUUACUCUUAUAUCUGCAAUAUUCUUAAUGAUCAACUUGGAAAAGUCUUCCCACCAAAAAAAAAAAAAAAAAUGGAAAAGUCUUGUGAAAAAGGACUUAAUUUGUGUGUGUGUAUAUAAUAAAAAUAAAAUAAAAUAAAAUAAUUAGAAAUUAAAAUCCAAAAAGAAAUUAAGCAAAAUCAAACUUAGGCAAACCAAAACAAUCCUAAAGAUACCAAUGGAAAGAAGCUUCAAAUAAGUUGAUUUUUAAAGUUAAUGUCUGUUAUAUAUCUGCAAUAAUCAUGGGGCAUUCUAAAAGACUCUAUUAUCAAAGAAAUCCUAGCCUCCCCUCUGUCAAAAAAAAGCCAUUUUCACUUUUAGGAGGGAGAAAGUCACAGUUCUUCCUUCCCUCCCCCAUCUUCUUUUCCUCCCUUCUAUUCUUUUUCUAUUUUCAAAGACAGAAAGUUUUCUACAUUUCUCUUAGUUUUGUUAUAAUUUUCUUAAUAGAUUUAUUUAUUAGUCUUUGUUAUAUCUGCAAUAUUCCUAAUGAUUAACUCGGGAAAAUCUUUCCAGCAAAAACCAAAAAAACUUGGAAAAGUCUUGUAAAAAGGGACCCCUCUCUUGUCCUAAUCAAAGAGGGACCGGACAGACUUUUUCAACCCGAGGGGUCGAUGUGGUGACAUUACAGAGCUGUGGUUUUAGUGCUCGUCUGGUUCGACUGGUCAGUCGUCCGCCUGAGCUAGUGUCGGUGUGGGCUUUGAGUCCACAUCGUGGUGCUAGUGGUUAAUUCGGCUCAGUCAGCCUCCUGUGUCAACUACCACCAUGUAUACAAACAUGGUACAGACAACCGCUUUUUCUGUAGCCCUUUGAGCCAAUACAAUAAGAUUUUGUAAUUUAGUGUCGGCAAAGCAAUAAUUUAGAUUCCUUGUCAAAUUCCAAUAAUACGCAUGUCGAAAAAAUUUGUUGAACUGUCACACCCCAUACUUUGAGCAAAUAUUCCAAAGCAAAUUCAAAGAAAUAUUUCACUAAAUUAACGUUGGUAUAUAUUUGUUGACCUGAAAAAUUAUCAACAUUUAUUAAUAAUAAAAAUAAUUAAAUAACAGCCUAAGCUGUGAGUUAAUAGCAACUUAAGGCCCUGUUUGGUGAGCUGGACUGGACUGGUUAAGAUUGGGCUUUGAGUGUUGGAUUUGUCUGGCUUAGAUUGGGUUGGACUUUAAUAAGUUGUUUGGCACAUUAAGUUGGACUAGGCUACACUGGACUAAAGUCCAGUCUGUUGUUUGGUACAAGUAUGGACUGGACAGCAUUGGACUUCAAAUAAAAUUUAUUUUAAUGUUUAUUAAAAUUAUUUAAUAUAGAAAUAAUUAAAUUUAAUAUAAAAAAAUGUAUAGAAAAUUAAAAAUAAGAAAUCACAUGAAGAAACCAUAAAAAUAGUCCAAAAAUUCACAAAAUUAAUAAUAACACGAAAAUUCUUUUAAGUACAUUCAAAUGAUCAAGAAAUACUUAUGUUAUGUUGCUCUAUUUGCCAUCCACUCAUUAAACAUCUCAGUAGCCAAAUUAUCCCUCCAUGUAGACCAUUGGUCGGAUGCGGCAAUGGUAUCAAUAGUGGCAUGAUCGACAUUGUUCUCAAUGAGGGGAUCAUAAUAAAUUUCUUGCUCCAUUGGAUCUAUAGACAUCUCUCUCCUAAUUAACUUGUGUAAAAAACAACAACCCAUUAUUAUUCGGCAUUGUGUUUGUAUUGGAUAGAACGAUGGAGUCCUUAAGAUUGCCCAACGCAUCUUAAGAAGUCCAAAACAACGUUCCACCAUAUUUCUUGCUAAUGCAUGCUUCAUGUUGAAGUAUUCUCGAUGGUUCAAGGGUGCACAUCCUUCUCUCCAUUCCCAUAAGUGAUAUCUCGUUCCUCUGUAGGGCGCAAGAAAUCCCUCACAAUUUUUGUAACCAGCAUCCACAAGGUAAUAAUAUCCUAAACAAUAAAUAGGAGUGAAUUAAAAAACAUAAUUCAAAUUUAUGGUACUGAAAUAUUUCUUAGAAUUCUUUGUAGAGAUUUGUAACUUUCUUGUUUUGUUUAUGGUACUGGAAAUGACUUUCUGUUUUUAGGUAUUUUAGCUGCACUGCAUCCAUAUGGAAAUAUAUAUAUGAUUUAUCUACAUUUCAAGAUAUCAAUCAUUAAUCUAACCAAAAAUCAUCUGAUGACUACAAUUUGUGGCUUAUCCACUUUCCUUCAUUGGGGUUUCUAUUCAAGCAAUGCUGGUAGUAAGGUAACAUGCCAACAAGUUCAUGAACAAAAUUAGAAAAGGUCACUUGCCUUGGAAAGCAAGACUCCAACACGCAACUUCCGUCUCUGAUUGUCUUACACGAAUUAAUGAUAUGGUUCAAGACUUUAACCCUCCGUUUGGAUGAAGGAAUUGAAAAUUACAUAGAAUUCUAAAAUGACAGAAUUUAGAUUUCCAUCAUUUCAAUUUCUAGCAAUUGAAAAUUCUAGUGCUUGGAUUUAUGUAUGUUGAAUUUUGUAAACGACAAAAUUUUGUAAAUGGCACUAUGGAAAUUGUGAAAUAACGCCUAUUUUGGUGAAAGUUAAUUAAAUUUAGGAAUUUGAUGCCCCAAUUUCCACGAUUUUUUCCGCGUGUCAUUUAAUAAAUUUCGUACUUAAGUUGCCAAACAAGAAAAUUGUUAAUUUCUUCUCUUAAAUUUCUGACUUUUAGUUAAAUUCAGAAUUAUUUUCCUUCAUCCAAAUGGACCAUAAACAUUUCUUAAUCUCCUUCUCUCUUUUUUUUCUUUUGCUUUCUCUGUUUGAAUUUUCUCUCUUUUUGGUUUUGCUUACUCUCACUCACUACUACAUUUUACUCUUUGCGCGACGAAGAACAAAACGUCGCGCAAAGUCUCAUUUAGUCGCACUAAUUUCAGCGCGACAAAACAUUCGUCGCGCAUAUUUCGUCGCGCGAAGAUCGUGAAGAAAGCCUUUGCGCGACGAGGUACAACCCUUCGUCGCGCAAAACUGUGCGACGGGUAAACCAUCGUUGCACCAACGGUGUGGAGACGAAACAACUGUUCGUCGCAUAAAUCUUUGCGCGACGAUCAAUUAUUCGGCGCACGUAUAUUUGCGCGACGACAGGAAUAGCGCGACGAAACAUAAUUCGUCGCGCAAAACAUGUUCGGGAGACGUAUAUGUUCGUCGCAGAACAAUUCGCGCGAUGAGAAAGUUUUCGUCGCUCAUAUAUUUGCGCGACAAAAACCUCUGUCGUCGCGCAAAUAUGUUGCGCGACGAAACGUUUCGUCGCGCAAAACCUAUUUGCGAGACGUAUGUAUUCGUCGCGCACGAAUUAAAAGUGAUAAAAAAGUUGAUUUUUUUUUUGUUACAUGUUGGUUUGCGCGACGAAAUGUUUUCCGUCGCGCAAAAAUAAUAUUACAAUUUUAUUUUUAUUUUUUUUAUUUUUUUAUUUUUUAUUUUAAAUAAAAUUGGUUUCUUUUUAUUGAUUAAACAAUGAAAUUGCAAUAAAAAUAAAUUAGAAUAAAAUUUUGUUAUAAAAUAAAAUAAAUGUAUUACAAAUAAAAUAAAUGUUUAUGAUGAAAAUAAAUACACUAAUCAAAUAAUGAAGCAAAAUCAACCGGGUCGUCGCGAGUAUGCGGCUCGGAGGUCUGGGCGUCCACCGGGGCUGUGGUCUGGGCGUCCACCGGGGCAGUGGUCUGGUGGGCAUGCUCGGGGUGGACGGGCUGGGAGGUCGACGCACGAAACUGCGGGAUCGGAAAGCCGCUCUCUGCGAGGGACUGUAGAAUCACCGACAUCUGACCCUGAAGCUCGGCCACCUGUGCUGUCAAAGCAGUCACCUGACUGUUUGACUGCACCGAUGAACGAGGUCUAGGUUCCCUCCGCCGGGCAUUCCCCAUCCCUCGACAAUAUGUCCCCAGCCUCCUUCGCUCGAGUCUGAUCCAACGUCUCCGUCAAGAUCUGAAAUCCAGCAUCCGAUGGAGGAGCCACAGACUCGAGCGGAGUCUCAGGAGGAAGCUGGGAGGCGGACUCCUGAAGAACCAACUGGCUCCUCUCCACCAUCGUCGUCUGUUGAACAUAACAUAAAAUAUAAAUUAAAACAUGCAUAUAAAUUGAAUGCGUAACAUAAGAAUUUAAAUUAAAUAAUACUUACAUGAAGGGACUCGGCCAACUCAUUCCCGGGUCGAACAUAAACGUCACCAAAGACGUCGAUCUCUGGGAACUUGGACCCCUCCUAAAUUGAACAAGAGAAGAAAAAUAUUAGUAUGAAAAAAAUAAAUUAAUAAAAAUGACAUUAAAAAUGAAAUAUAAAUUAUGUGAUUAUUACCCGUCGCCGUGCAUCCAUCCUAUACGAAAAGGGACUGGAGCCAGAAUGGUGGAGAAGGGUCUUCUUCUUCCUAUUACCCUUAUUCACUUGGGCUUUAUUCUGUUAUACAAAAAAUGAAACGUAUUAGUUAAAAUAUAACAAAUUAAAUAAUAAUGAAAUAAAAAAAAUGAAAUAAACAUUAAUAAGAAAUAAGUAAUAAUUAAACAAAUAUGAUUAAAAAAAAUACCAUAUAUUCGGGCGCUUGAAAAUGAGCGCAGAGCCACUCCCAACUAUCCUCCCGCCCCUCAAGCUCCUUCGGGCAACCCUCCUGAAGAGCGACUUGCGGAUCAUCAAAGGCCUGAAAAUGAUGGUGCAAGUCGCUCUUCCACUGCUUGUACCUCUCAGCGAUGAGUCUGUUGACGUACACCAACGACUCUUCGUCGAGAUCCUCCAAGUUAUAGUUCGUCUGCAAUCAAUUAAUUAAAUACGUUAAGUAAUAGAAAUAUACACAAUUUUAAAGAAAAAUAAUGAAAAUGUAAGGUACAUACCGACAACUGGCCGCGAACCUCCACCUUUAUUUCGUCAGGAAUGACCCUCCAAGACUUCCAUUGCAUCGGGCAAUGGGUCCGCACGACGUGGCCAAUGUCGUGGGCCAAGGAGCUAUGCAACUCCGCCGUGGGUGCAGCCCGAUGGCGCUCGUCGUAUCCGAUGCUGAUACGACUGUUGGUCACCCGGGUGACCUUCGCUGUCUUCAGCUGACGACACGGCCCUCGGGUGUUCUUCUUCGCUGCAAAGAAAUAAGAUAUUAAUGUUAAAUAAACAACAUUGUCAAAUUUAAAUAUAAAAUUAACAAUAAAAAAUGGUAGUUAUACCUGGCUGUGAUCCCGAGGCACCAGUACCCUCGGUCGAUGUCGUCUUGGUGGUGUCGGCAGGCCGGUGCCGCCGCCUAGCACUAGCAGGCUGCGCGACGGAUGACGCAGAUGACGCUGGCGCCUGGGACGCCCCGGGACCAACUAGCACGUGCUCCAUCAAAGCUGGAGCUGUGGCAGCAGAUGCCGACUGAGCUGGGGGAUCCGAACUCGGUGCAGUCGUCAUCGACCUACCACGUCUAAUCAAGUCUAACAUCUGCACAUAUAAUUUUAUUAAGAAUUUAAACUAAUUAAUUAAAAGCAUAGCAUGACCUAGGGUUUGGAAUUUCGGAGUAUCCGGGACUCCGAUCAACAAUCGGUCGAAUCCUAAACGAUCCUAGAAACACAAAGGUACAACUACGUGAGUUUGAGUUCGAUCCAACGGUCCGAACAUAUCAAACCUGGAAAUCGCAGAAUAGGCGAAAUCCGAUCAAUACUCAAACGGUAACCAAAUUCAAAUCCGAGCAAACCUACGCGCUCGUGACAAACAGGGGAUUGCUCUGGGACACAAUGCCCCACUGCCACAGCAUCCCACGCGCCACCACACGCGCCGGCAGCGCGUGGGUGUCCAAAGCGAUAACAUUCGCCGGAAAAUUCUAAAAACUAACGGCCAAGGUUCCUACCCUAGGUUGAAAACAGUAAUUGGAGCCACUUUUGUUCUCGGACCUACCCCGAAAAAUAGCCGGAAGUGGCCGGAUUUGAAAUUCCCAAACCGGCCAAAACCUAGGGUUUUAAUUCCUAUUUCCUAUAGCGAAAAUUCAACAAAUCCUAGCCAACCAUCAGCUAGAGCACAAAAAAUAGUCGAGAAAUCAUACCUCAGGCGUCGGAAAUGGUGGCCGGAGGAGAGAGAAAUCGCCGGCGAUGAAUCGGGAAAAAACCGGCAGGCUCGACGGCGGGCUCGACGGCGAAGGAAGGGGAGGCUACGGCAAGAGCGGCGGUGGCUGAGGUGACGGCGGAGAGAGAGGGCUGAGGUGACGGCAGAGAGAGAGGGAAACGGAGGAAAAAACCAGAAAUGGGGAAGAAGGAGGCAUCGCGCCGUUUCUGCAAAUUUUUACGACUUUGCGCGACGAAGGACAUCAUCCGUCGCGCAAAAUGGUAUUAAUGAAUCUUGCGCGAUGAAAUAUCCGUCGCGCAAGGUCUCCCAGAACGCCAAAUUUUGAAUGGGGAUUAGGGUCUGUGACUUUUGCGCGACGAAAAAUACUUAGUUCGUCGCGCAAAAGGCUGUCGUUCCGCCAAAUUUUUGGGAUUUAGGGUUUAGUGGGAGGCUGAAACUGAAGGGUUUGUGCUUUUGCGCAACGAAGAGAGUAAACGUCGCGCAAGGGUAACCUUGCGCGACGGGAAACAUUAUAUUCGUCGCGCAAAACGCUGGCGUUCCGCCAAAUUUUUGGGAUUUAGGGUUUAGCGGGAAAUGAAGGGUUUGUGCUUUUGCGCGACGAAGACAGUAAACGUCGCGCAAGGGUAACCUUGCGCGACGGAACACAUUAUAUUCGUUGCGCAAAACGCUGUCGUUCCGCCAAAUUUUUGGGAUUUAGGGUUUAGCUGGAAAUGAAGGGUCUGUGGAUUUUGCGUGACGAAGAUAGUAAACGUCGCGCAAUGGUUCCCAUUGCGCGACGGAAAAUAUUAUAUUCGUCGCGCAAAACGCUGUCGUUCCGCCAACAUUUUGGGGUUUAGGGUUUAGCGGGACGCAAUCUAUUUCACUUUCACUUUGCGCGACGCAUACCUUGGUUCGUCGCGCGAGUUCAAGAUUGUGAUUGAAAUUUUCACUAAGUGUUCAAAGGGGAUGGAGGUGUGAAAACUGUCGCCCAGAUUGCUCGACGAACAUAGGACUGUUCCGUCGCGCAAUCUAUUUCACUUUCACUUUGCGCGACGCAUACCGUGGUUCGUCGCGCGAGUUCAAGAUUUUGAUUGAAAUUUUCACUAAGUGUUCAAAGGGGAUGGAGGUGUGAAAACUGUCGCCCAGAUUGCGCGACGAACAUAGGACUGUUCCGUCGCGCAAUCUAUUUCACUUUCACUUUGCGCGACGGUUAUAGAUAUGCGUCGCGCAAAACCUAGACCCUAAACCCUAAGCCCUAAACCCUAAACCCUAAAAUAGUUUCAAUGAUCCAACCGGCUAACUUAUUUUUUGAUACUUGGAGAUCAUAUACGCCAAAAAUCAAAAAGACCAAACAUUCAGAUAUCAGGGAACGGGACUAAAUAUUUCGACGGUUAUAAAUGAAAAGUCAUGAUUUAACGGUUAUUUUAACUCCGAUUUUGAUCAUUUUUUACAGCAACAUUUGUUGACCCUAUAUGAAUACAAUGACUGAAUUUGAUCUUCAAUUUCAGAUUUUUACACUAGGGGAUACCACAUAAACGUUAAGUUACAUUUUCACAAAUGUAUGAACAAAUUUUAGGGUUUUUGGUGAAUAUAUGAUUUUGAUAGCACACGCAGUCUACGAAACAAGUUUCAGUCAUCCAGCCGUCAAACUUGUUUUUUUAGACUUCGAGAUCAUAGACAGCAAAAAUUGGACAAAAAAAACAUUCAGAGAUUAAGUAACGGGGUAAAACUUUUCGACGGUUCUAAAUAAAGAGUGAUGAUUGAACGGUUAUUUUAACUCCGAUGUUGAUGAUUUUUUGCAGCUACAGUCCUACACUUCAUAUGAAUACAAUGAACUACUUCGAUCGUCAAUUUUAAAUAUAUAUGUGUGUAUAUAUUAUACUAUAACGUUACCUAAUAUAUAUUUGCGCGACGAAGGGCUCAUUAUCGUCGUGCAAAAAUUCCAUACGCGACGCAUAUAUAUUCGUCGCGGAAACAAUGCGCGACGAGGUAUAUUCGUCGCGCAAACGUUACGCAACACUUAUAUAUGCGUCGCGUAUGGUAUGUUUGCGCGACGAUAAUGAGCCCUUCGUCGCGCAAGGAUUUGGCGCCAUAAAUCCUCAUUUAAUUCAAAUUGUGUAUGCUUUGUAUUUUUUGGAAAGGUUUUGUAUUCAUCAUUUUUUAUGCUUUGUAUUUUUUGGAAAGGCUUUGUAUUUCUCAAUCAAGCUUUUGAUUUUGAACACAUCUCUCAAUCAAGCUUUUGAGUUAAUUCAGCCAUGGCUUCUCUUCAUGACACUCCAACAUCUUCAGCUCCCAUACCCCACUUCUUCAAGAUCAUUCUAGAUGACACUUCUAAAAACAUCAGAAUUGUAAGCAUCUCUCUCUCUCUCUCUCUCUCUCUCUCUCUCUCUCUCUAUGCUAAGAAUGUUUUCUGAUUAUUGAAAUAUUCAUUUCUUUUGUUAUUUUUAUUGAAGCUUUAACUUGUUCUGUUCUGCAGAAAAUUCCAAUGAAGUUUGUGAUGAAAUAUGGAGAAUGAAUACACAACUACAUAUGGACAACUACAUAUAUUUAAAGAUUUGUAUUACAUAAAAUGAAUACAGUAACAUAAUAAAUUUACAAAUAAAUUCAUUAUUCAUCAUCUGAACUAUAAUAACUUUCGUUAUUGUCGCUAUCAUCACUCUCGGUCUCCCAGUCUUCUUCCUCCUCCUCCUCUAUAACUGCAUCAUUGGCGUUGCUAGGGCCCACUGCAACAUCGUAUCGGGGAAGAUCACCGAGGUCAAUUGUAAUUGACUGAAUCGGUAUUUCGACUGAAGACACUCCUUCUAUUUGAAACGGUUCUUGUAUAACAUUUGUAUCUCGAAGUGUUUCCGCAUCAUUUUCCAUUGAAGAUUCUAAACGUUGGUCAGCCACAUUGUCGACGUCGUUGUCACUUGGGUCUAGUUCUGGUAUAUCAUACACAUUCCUAUGAUCCAUCUUCUGCACAACUUUCCACCAGUUCCCGGCUUUAGGGUCAUCUAGAUACACAAUUUGGGACGCCAUGUUUGCCAAAAUGUACGGGUCGUCAUCAUACCAAGUUCUGUUAUUGUUCACAGACAGUACUCCAUGGUCGAUUUUAACACUUCCCGCCCAUUUUGGGUUGGUAUCGAACCAUCGACACUUAAACAUGAUGACUUGGUAUCGAUCUUUGUAAAGCAAUUGCACGACAGUUGUCAGUUUGCCAUAGAAAUCAAUGUCCGUACUUUCGCCUCCACCUGGGACAUGGACACCGCUAUUUUGCGUACACAACUUGUCAUCUCGUGCGGCCCCCAAAAAUUUGACGCCGUUAACAUUACAACCCGAGAACAAUUCAGCGCGAAUUGGGCCGAACGCCAAGUUAUAUAACUCAUCACUGUAAGUGGGGGAAUUCGAUGAUUUCAAUUUAUUCACCUAAUAGUAUACAAAACCAUUUACAUGUUAGUCUGACAAAAUUAAAUACUACAAUUUAUAUUUGUCAAUUACAAAACACUUAUAACUUACAGAAUCCAAAAACCAUUGUGGAAAUAAUUCACGGUGUUUCCGGGCAACCAAAUGUGAUAGAUGUUCUCGCUUCAUCAUCUGUUCAUGCUCAUCUAAGUAGGCCAUUAUCUCAUCACAAUUGUUCAGUACGAACCAAUGCGCUACCUCCAUGUCAUUUCUAGAAAACGACUCUCCUCGUCCAGGAUCUCCAAAUGGUCGUGCGCUUUGGGCAAAAACAGAAAGUUUUUCAUUUCUCAUACCUCCGUCAUUAUUGCGUUGAGGAUGAUUGAAAACCGUCUCCACAUCUUUUAAAUACAUUCCACAGAAAGUAAGCGACUCAUAUUGAACCCAAGCCUCUAUAAUUGAUCCUUCGGGCUUUGCCCUGUUGCGUACACUUUUUUUCAGCUCUCCGAGAAGCCUGCCAAAAUAAAACGAUAUGAUACAAAUUAGCAAACUGUUGAUAAUGAUGCAUACACAAAUGAUAAAGAUUAUAUACCUUUCUAUUGGAUACAUCCAGCGAUAGUUGACAGGACCAGCAAGCAAUGCCUCUUCUGGCAAGUGAACCAUCACGUGCAUCAUACUUGUAAAGAAAGCUGGAGGAAAUAUCAUCUCAAACUUGCAUAGGACUUGGACAAUUUCAUGGCGCAACUGAAACAUGUCUGUCCUUCGCAAUGUUUUUGCCGUCAGUUGGGAAAAAAAUCUGGAUAACAACAUGAUUGGCUUCACCACAUCUUCCGGCAGUAGGUGUCGAAUACCCACAGGAAGUAGGCGUUGCAUGAACACAUGGCAGUCAUGGCUCUUAAGUCCAGUAAAUUUACCCCCAUCGACAUUCAUGUAACGUGCGAUAUUAGAAGCAUACCCAUCGGGAAAUUUGACAGACGAUACAAACUUUAGAAACUCCUUUUUGUCAUUCGGUUUCAUAGAAAAGAAUGCAAGAUCCCUUCUAGCUUUAUCACUUUCCCUAUUCAUCCAUAAACCCCUUCGUAUGCCCAUUCUUUCCAAAUCAAGACGAGCUUUGAUCGUGUCCUUCGUCUUCCCCUCGAUAUCUAGAAUCGUGCCCACCAAUGUGUCGAAUACAUUUUUCUCAACAUGCAUCACAUCUAGAUUGUGCCUCAAUUUCAGUUUCGACCAAUAUGGGAGCUCAAAAAACAUAGGCUUGUGCGUCCAGUUCAAAUGUGUAGAAGGUCUGGUCCGACUAACUGUUUUCCCGAACGGAGCAAAAUCCAAACGGUUCAGCUGUUCCAAGAUCUCAUCACCGGACCAUUCUCUAGGUCUGAGGUGACGCUCUGUGUUCCCGUCGAACUCUUUAUCUUUUUCUCGCCACUCGUGGUCCCAUGGCAACCAUCUCCGAUGACCAAGGUAACAAAUUAACUUUUUCCGCGUGCCAACCAGAAGUUACAUCUUCCUUGCAUACAGGACAUGCCAUAUAACCCUUUGUGCUCCACCCAGAAACCAUUGCAUAUGCUGGAAAAUCAUUCACAGUCCACAUAACUGCUGCUCGCAAAGUGAACAUCCUCCCAGUUGAUUUAUUGUACGUGCGAACACCGUUUAUCCAUAAAUCCUUCAGCUCAUCAACCAGAGGCCUUAAGUACACAUCAAUUGACCUGCCAGGAUCCUCAGUUAUCAAAACAGUCAUCAUCAUGUCUGUGGCAGUAUGCGUUGACAUAUACAAUCGCUGCAACCUAGGUUUAAGGGGCAGAUAACGCAUGACUUUUUGUGGUAUCUUAGUCGUUUUAUUCUGGGAUGUCAUUUUGAACCUCAACUCAUUGCAUAUAGGGCAUGUAUCCAACGUUUCAUGCUCUUUGUAGAAUAACAUGCAAUUGUUUUUGCAAGCAUGAAUUUUUUCAUAACCCAAUCCAAGACCAUGCAACACCUUCUGUGCAUGUUUAUGGUCUUUCGGCAAACAAUUGUCCGUCGGAAGCAUUCUCUUGAAAACCCCCAAAAAGUAAUCGAAACACAAGUUCGACAUAUGAUACUUUAUUUUUUCGUGCAUUAGCUCCACAAUGGCAGUGAGAACGGAAAAGCUCUCGCACCCCGGGUAUAACUCUUGGUUGGCAUUUUUUAACAGUUUUUCAUACUGUUCAAACUCCGCACUGUCUAUUGAUGUAGGCACGUCAUCUUCCCCUUCCUGAUUGAUGUUGGUCGAUGCGAAUGGAAAAGCAUCCUGUAUAAUACCCAUGACUUGAUCAUUAGGAUCCACAAUAGGUUCAACAUUGUCCACUCUUGGGGCAUUUGAAGACGAAGCAUGGUCUACUUGUUCGCCGUGAAGGUUCCAAAUGCUAUAUGUUUCAAUCAUUCCAUUCCUUACUAAAUGAAAUCCAACAUUUUCAAUUGUCUCCCACAACGUGUUGUUACACCUCCUACAAGAACAACGGAUUCUAGUUGCACCUGGGUUGUGUCUACGUGCAAACUCAAUAAAAUCCUCUAUUCCAUCCAAGUAUUCGUCUGCGCAUCUAUUCGGGUUCUGUAUCCACCUUCUGCUCAUAAUUCCUGAAACCACAAUCACGACACAACAAUCACAACAACUUCAUACGAAGUUAUAAUGUCACCUUAUGCCUCCAGUAAGGGCCCUAUCCCAUUCUGGAAUGCAUAGUCCUGUCACGUAACCUACGGCUACAUGAGAUUAGAUUUCGACGUGGAUUAAUUUCGGCAGCAUCUCGACACAGUUCUUGAAGUGGGCAUAGGUAUAAAUACCUACGUACCACUCGAAGAACGUACCGAGAUGACACCGAAAUCUCCACAAUCGAAACCUAAUCCUGUAGCCGAAGAUUAUGUGACAACACUAUGCAUUACCAAACUGUCCAAAUAAUGGGACAAUUCAAGAAUUAAUUGGACCGCAGUCAUGCAUUACGCAUCCAUGCACGAAAUCCAACUAAUCUCGAACGGGAAACUACGUGUUACUAAACAUAAAAAUAAAAGUACGAAGUUAAUUUCAAUUAACUUCGUACAUCACAACACAUUGUGCUAUGUCACGCACAAUUUCACAACAUUAUACAUAUAUAACUUCACAAAAAAAUUACAAACAUAACAAACAAACUUUUACAAUAACAUACCUUCUCAAUUGUUCUCCACCAAUCACCAAUCACAAAUAUCCCUAAUGAUAACAAAAUUAAUAGCGUUACUACGAAUUUACAUUAAUACAUUUAAACUAACGACAAAAAAUACAUACCCAAUGAACGUACUGAAUUCACAGCAGAACAACGGCAGGGAGAGUGAGAGAGAGGCAGAAUGCAAUUUCUGCAUUCUGCCUCUGCAAUGGCAGAUACUAAUAUGAAGAAGAAGGACUUUGCGCGACGAACACCCACAAUCCGUCGCGCAAAAUGCCGUCGCGAAAACCCACUUUUCAGUCGCACAAAAUAACAUUUCCGUCGCGCAAUUACCUGUCGACAUCUGCUUUUUUGCGCGACGAAUAACAUUAUUCGUCGCACAAAAUUUCGUCGCACAAGGUUUAAAUUACGUCGCGCAAAUUAUUUAUUUCGUCGCGCAAGGCAUUACACUUUACGCGACGAAAAUAAUUCCGUCGCGCAAAAAAAGUUUUAUCCACCCUGCAUUUUGCCGCCAAAAAUAAGUGUCCCUCGUUUUCUUACGCGACGGUACAUGUUUUCGUCGCGCUAAGUUGUCUUUUGCGACGAAAACUUUCGUCGCGCAAAGUUUUUUACCGCAAAAAAAAUUAGACAAUUUUCUGUCCAUCUUUACGCGACGAAUUUUUUGGAUUGUCGCGCAAUAUUGUCAUGCGCGACGAUCAUUAUCGUCGCGCAAGAUUCUGGCGCCAAAAAAAAAAACCGGGGUUUUUUCCCCGACCUUUGCGCGACGAAAUUAGUGUUGGUCGCGCAUAGAUUAUUUGCGCGACGAAACCGUUUCGUCGCGCUAGUGUUCUGUUGUUUGCGCUACGGUAUUUUUUUUUCGUCGUAAUAGUGAAGUUUGCGCGACGAAAACAUGUUCGUCGCGCAAACUUCCGUCGCGCAAAUAGUAAAUCGUAGUAGUGACUCCUGAUAUACUUUAGUGGCUAUGAAAGAAAAAGGCUAGAACAGGAAGAAAUAAUACUUAUGGCAUGUACACAAGAAGAAAAAAGAAAUAAUACUUACUCAGCAUAUAUCAAUAUACUUAUGGCAUGUAGAAGAUGAAGAAAUACAUAAAUAUAUAUAAGAGAAAUAAGAUUCAAAUUCAGAGAAAGGAACGCAAACAAAAGUUUGAGUAUAGGAGCUCUAGUGGCCAUACAUCUCCAAACCCUUCCGCUAUGUAAUAGUACGGGAAACUCCAAGCCGAAUCUUUCUUUCUCACUUAUUGAUUUUUCUCUUCUUUUUCUUCUUGGUCGUGCCUUUUUUUUUCAAUCAAGCCGCUUGCUUCAUUUUUUGUUUUGCUUACUAACUGUUAAUAUAUAAAAUAAAAUAUAAAAUAAAGCUAGAACAAGAAGAAUAAGAAUACCAAAAAGAUAUGGUACGCUCGACUUGUUGUAAUUCUUGUUGCCAACAUUGAUAAUUCCAACCCGACGGCUUUUUUUUGCAUAAAAUCUAUUGCGAGAAAUGUUGUGGUUUCCACCCAUCCUUGCUCGAUCACCACUUUCACCGUCUUCGUUGUAAGCCUCUUGAAUCCCAACAUCUAUGCUUUCAAAUGCGGGAAAAUAAUUCUCAUUAAUGUUGUUGGUCUCGUUGCCUUGAUCAGUAUUUUCUGCCUCACUAUUUUCAUUUUGCUGGAGCACUUGUUCAGUUCUUUCUCCUUGGGGCUCUUGUUCAUAAAGAGUUCUAGGGCGACCAUGAAAGCGGUUUCUUACCCUCUCUUGAGGGCUCUGGUUCAGUUGUGCAGCUUCAGUUCGAGAUCGAGACCCAUCUUAUAUAUAUGCAAAGAAUAAAAUGGACAGAUCUUCAAAUAAGUGCAUGCCAAUACUCAAUCAGAUGGAAGAUAAUCUUUCAAUAAAUGGAAGUUACUAUUGUAGACUAAUUUCAUAAAUUCCUUAAAACCUAUACACGCAUAGAAUCACAUCAAGGAAAAGAUCUUGAAUCAAAUAAAAAUAUUAAUCAUAAUAGUACAUACCUGCCAUUGAUGAAAGCUCAAAAGAAAGUCUUCUACUCUCCGUAGAGUUCUUAUGUUCAACUAGCAAUAUGGACUAGAUGUUUUGAACGGGUGUUUCUAAGAGAGCAUGGACCACUUCUUGAAAAUGGAAUAGCUUACUAUUAUGUAUGUGGAUUUAUUUAUUAAUCUCUGUGUUUUUUUUUUUUUGGUCAUAAGUUUAUUAAUCUUUGUUAUAUCUGCAGUAAUCCAAAUGAUCAACUUGGAAAAGUCUUCCCAGCAAAAAAAAAAAUAAAAAACUUGGAAAAGUCUUGUGAAAAAGGACUUUGUGUGUGUGUAGAAAGGUUCAAGUUUUUCAAUUUUUUUUUCGAAUCUUGACAAAAGAAAUAAAAGAAAAUAAAAUGGUUACAAACUAACAAUCGAAAAAGAAAUUAAGCAAAAUAAAACUUAGGCAAGCCAAAUCAAUCCAAAGAUACCAAUGGAACGAAGAUUCAAAUAAGUUGAUUUUUAUAGUUAAUCUCAGUUAUAUAUCUGAAAUAAUCAUGGGGCAUUCUAAAAGACGCAGUUCUUCCUCCCCUCUUCUAUCUUCUCUUCCUCCUUUCUCAUCUUCCCCUAUUUUCAGAUACAUAAGUUUUUCCCUAUUUGUCUUCUUUUUGUUAUGAUUUUCCUCCAACCAUCACAUGUGGCUCCAUCUUGGUGUCGGAUCUCCAUCUACAUUUUUGGCGUCGGAUCUGCACCAUCAUCAUUUUUACGAUUUUUUUGUGUUUGGAAUAAGUCACAAAGACUCUUUGGAUUCUUUGUGUAGUUUUCAUCUCGUUUUAUUUGUAUUGUUAUGACUUGGUUUUUUCAAGCUUUAUCUCUUUUUGAUUACUAUGAGUUUACAAUCUUAAUUAGGAUGCUUAUACUAGAGUUUCGAUCAUGAGUGAUCGUUAAUGGCGGCACACUAGAUUGUUUUAAUUUUGAUGUUAGAUCACUCUAUUAUUGCAAUUGUCCCUUGUGGCAAGUUUGUAUUGGCCAUUUGUGACUAGUGACUUUUUAAACUAAAUUAUAAAUGCAAUCCAAAAAUUUCUAAAAAAAAAAAAAGCAAAAACAAUUAAUAGUCAUGAUCGAUAGUGUAGUUGUUUACACCAUAAUGAACCGAGCAGACCCAGCACCAAAGUGACUAGCACCAAGGCAGCCACGCCUUCUCCUGUGCCGAAGGAAGACACACUUCCGAGGUGCCAGACACCUACCGAAGCUCCCAGCUGCCAAACCUAAUCUACAGGACACGUGUCGCCACCACAAUGGCUUGCACAAAGUCCCACAUUGGAACUUUGUGCAAAACUCCUACUCUCACCUCCCUAUAAAUAGGGAACAGUACCCAGGUACAAAGGACGACUAUUCUCCCACUUUUACUGUUACUCUGCCAGAAUUACUACUUGUAACUGACUUAGGCAUCGGAGAGCCUUCGGCCGGCACCACACCGGUGUCUGAAGCUUAACGAUUGCUUCUCCUCUUUUACCUUCUACAGGUCUCUCACCAACCCAUUUCACCAAGGGCCUCAGCCUUCUUCUCUGCUGAAGACUCAGCACAUCUAAUCACUAAGUUGCACUCAAUAUUGGCCGGGCCAUUUUGAGCAUCAACAGUAGUAAAAAAGGUACUCCUGUGGAAAAAAUAUUUGACUUCUUCGGACACGCACAUGCACAUAAAUUAUAUAAGAAAUUAUAAUUAGUGCUUGCAAUUAUAAAUUAUCUAGCUAAUUGAUUACUUUGAAUUUUUGUUUUGAUCACAUGCAGGACAAAGAAGACCACUCUUGUCCUAAUGCCCUCGGAGAAUGUAUAUUUUAUUUUAUUUUUUCAAAAACCUACUACAACUUUUCAAAUGGCAAAAACUAUUUCACUGAAAAUAAAAAUAUUAUGUAAAAAUAUUUUAUAUACUCGUGAUAUGUAUUAAAAUAAAAAAUUCAUUAUAAAUAUAAGCUAUAGUUGCCUGUGAUCAUCUGACACAUUAUAUAUUAUACUUGCAUUCCUACUGAGAAUUGAGGGGCUCAAGCAUCUUUGAUGCUUUCCAGUUUGUUUAUCGUAAAAUUACAACAACUUCCCCUCUUUUUUGCCGUAACGUUAGCAAAGAUACAAGUGAUAUUAAUUAUUGGAGCAGUACAUAAGCUUAAAAAUAGGCCCAGGUAUUGCUAUUAUUAAUUUAUGAUUUUAAAAUGUACAAAUUCUACAAUUUAAGGGAUUCAAAACUUCAACAGCGAUGUCGAGUCAAAUAAUACGGGGUAAAAUAUUUUUUGAUAUAUUUCUAUUCAUCAAAGUAAGGUAUUUAUAAUACAAGUAUGUAAACUCUAGUAGGGUUAUACAAGAAAACAAAUAAAAUUCUAAUUACACAAAAUUUGUACAAAAGAGAGAGAAAAAAAAUUCCAAUAGAAUAGGAAAUAAAUAUCCUAAUCAAAUUAGGAUCUUGUGAACAUAGUGAUGAUCACCGUAAAGUUCGUUUUAGUAUUCGAAAAUACAUAAUACGGUCGGUUAUAAUAAACGAAUUUUUUGAUAACGAGAGAUUUGUUCUAUCUAUUAAUGUUCGUAAAACUUCAUUUUUCACGAAAAUCUGAUGAACGAACUCUGCUUCUUCAUUUUCCAUUUUUAUGGUUCGUAAAAUAAUGCCACUGUUGCUGAACUUGAGAGAGAGGAGCAUUAAUAUUGUAUAUUGACGACCAUCAACAUAAUACAUAUUUUUAUUUUAUUCAUCAAAUUAAUAGUACAUAUAAUUAAGAAGGGAGGGGAGGCCCUAGCUAGCUACAGACCUCAGUGAGUCAUCAGUUCUGCUUCGUCUUCAUCAGUACUGGAUGUCGAGUCAGUUUCUCCACCGGAGUCGACUAGUUAUUCUUUGCCGUGGCCUUUGUAGAUGUGGGUGUUGCCAAACUCGAAAAUUCCUACUCUCUCCGAUUUUUUCCCCGUAAUAUUAUUCCCAACGAUGCUGAAGUCAUUGCCUCUUCGGCCCAUGUCUUUUUUCUUACCUCUCUCAUUCUUGGGUUGCAGAGUUUUGGUGCUCACUGAUGGGGAUUUCGAGCUGUUGCUGUUUUGUUGGUCGGUGUUGGCCUUAGAAGAAUCCUCAGAACCUUGUUUCUGAUCACCAAGUGGAGGCUUCAGAUAUAGCCAGCCGGUAGACAUUUUCACCGCUUGGGAUCCUUGUCUGGUUUGUA